GCAUAAGAAGUGAUAAAUUCCAUAAUCCUCCAAGACUAUUGCUAAUGAUCAGUAAAAAAAAAUUUCACUGCUGAAAGGAAUAUCGUGAAUUCUUCGGGAUAUAUAAGAACUAACCUGAUGCCAGGAAACCUGGGACUGAGAGCAUUUUUGAAUAUGAGGACGGUUAACUCCCUCAGCAUUUCAAAAAUGUCCUUCCCAUCCAAGUAGCUGCUGCCAAAUGCUGUUCGAGAAAUUACUUCUGAGGUGAACAAUCUGAACUCUUCAAACACUUCAAUCUUCUUGCCUUCCUGUUUCUUCCACCUUUGUAGCAUUGUCUCAGAACUAGUUAUCAUUUCAGGAAUCAUACUCUAUAGUAACACAAUACCAGCAUGCAAUUAGCAAAUUUUCGUUGAAUCUAUUCUUUUCUUAUAAACAAUUGACAAAGCUACUACUAUAUUAGUAUUUGUUGCAAGAAUUAUAUAUAAUUAACUGUAAGAACUUAAUUAAUUACUUUAAAAGCUCUCUCCAUGGUUGGCCAGCUUUCUUAGUUUUAUCCAUUUUUCACCAUCUGCCAUCGAAAUGCUAUCUCCUAAAAGCUUCUUUGUAUACCCUUGGGACUUCUGUUUUCUGUAGUUUCUAUCGUUGUUGUUUAGUAUCUCCUUGCACAACUCGGGUUGUGCAAUGAUCAACUGAGGUUGAGGACCAUACCACAGAAGAAAAUUCUUCCCUGUUGCAGCAAAACAACCAAACUUAAAUUUGUUUUAACCAAAAUUCAGAUCAAAACUGUACGUAGUUAAUGUAGAGCUUGUUACCAAAGAUCUUGGUCCAUGAGUGAAUAUGCGGUUGAACUGUAGAAAGUAUGUCAUUCGAUAAGUUCCUGGGACUGCGCAUAGUUUUCAUCUUCAUGCUUAUGAUUUCUUUCGUGUUUCCAUGCACAAGUUUGUACGAAGGGCCUGUGAUUCCCUGCAAAGCCAUCAGAUUCUGAAUGCGAAUCAGAGUCCAACAUAGUUUUUGAAAGACCUUGAUGACAGCUGAGAGAACGAACACACACAGAAUGCUAGAAACAAUGACUACUGGGGCUCCCAUGCUACUCUGCAUGUAGCUCCGGCUCUAAGAAUUUAUACUCAAAUGAAUUGUACGUGGAUAAAUAUUUUAGAAACCAUAUCAUACGAUCUUCCUUGAUCCUUCUCUUUGGCAGCAUAAUAUCUUCUAUUUUUUUUUACUACAACAUAAUCUCCUCACGUAAUGCUAUAUUAUGUCCUCUAGGGUUUGGUACGUAUAUCUUAGACUCUUGGUUCAUGGCUUUGCCACCAGAGAAAUGCCCAAAUUCAAAAUUUAGUCAAAGACAACCGGACUGGACUUGGUUUUCUUGCUGUGUUUAGUUUUACCUUUGUCUUUUUUAUUUGUUAGUUUACUUUCUUGGUUCGGAUUUUACUGUUGUUUUCAUUUGGUAGCCAUUUUAAUUUAUUAUUAAUUUAGAAUAAAAAAUAUUUUGGUUGAUAAGCAUAGCAGUGGUGGUAAUAGAGUUUAAGGAAUGAGAAAUGGAAGAAUAUAUAGUUUAAGAAAAAAACAAUGUUGGUUGCAAGAAAUCUUACCAUUAGGUUCUGGUCUUUGAACAACAUAUAGGUGAAGCUUAAGGAAGUCUCUGUAUGUGUAGCUGCAGUUGGCUCCGGCAGUUUCCAAACAAAAACCACACUCAGCAUUGGCUCUCUUGCGCAGCGUUGCAAUGAACAUGACAAUAACAUUCCCUCGCGCCAUAAAGAUAAACAAAGAAAGAAAGAAUAUCAGAAGGGGGAACAAAAUUGUGCAAAGCAAGGAAAAUUCACAAGAUCCUUACAGCAGUUAAAAUAUAUACAGCAUGUGGUAACAAUAAAAUAAAUUCCUAAAGGAAAAUUGUGUAUCAAGCUUAUAAAAUCCAUGAUUAGAGAAAGGUUUGUGCAAAGACAAAUAGAAUCAGUUAAGUACAAUCAUUCAAUGAGGAAAUUUAAAAAAAUUCAGAUUAAAGUUGAGCAGAAGUAAAUAACAUUAAUGUCUGAAGUAGUAAAGUUGGAAUCAAUUUCUCACUUGCAUAACUUGAUGUAUUUCUAGCUUAGCUCCACCAGGAGUUGAUGCUAAUGCCUGACUUGUGAUGUCGUCCAAAAUGUGUUUUGAGUUCUGCUUUAGCUCUCUUGACAGACUAUUAAGAAGAGGCCCAAAUAAACAAGUAGAGCUUGCGCAGGUCUCCUGGUCCUGGAACCUUGCCUUGUGAGAAUUGGGAAAUAGGUACUGGCCCCUGGUAGGAAUGGCAGCCCCGGUCCUCUCUGAUAUCGGUCCCAAAGUGUCCAUCUGCAUAAUCUUCCAUCAUGAAUUCUGAGGAAAAUCAUUUAUUUCUAAUUCUGCUUCGUAGUGUCAAUGCAUGACAUGAGCUUGAAUAUGUAAAGUGCUAGGUUAAUGUUAUGCUGCAAGUUCAUGGCAGCUGCAUGCUCAGCUUCACAUGGAGGACUCACGAUCUGUUUGAUCUGUUCCCCCAUGAUGGGACAGGGAGAUACUAGGUUAUGCAUUCCUAAUUACGCAGAUCCCUAAACAAAGCAUCACAUAAAUUGUUAAACAUAUUUGUUUUUAUUCUUUCUGUACCUUCAGCUUUCCAGCCGCCUCGCUUCGACCAAUUGCGUGAUGUUCUUAUUCACAAGACUUCUUCGAACGACUUGUAUCCCCACAGGCUUGUUGUUGUUGUUGUUGUUGUUGUUCAGGAGUAGUAUCUUACGCCCCAAGGCUUCAAACCCGGGAGGGAACAUGGCAGAAAACAACACAGUUUGGCCAUCAGGCCUAGUUUUUGAACAAUUUGAGCAAUUUGGGGUUCGGAACCCAUGUCAAACGUUUGAUCAGCUUUGUCUGCCAAUAAAUAUGUCACCUGGCACAGGUUAUGUACUUCUCCUCCAUUUAUGCAAAGCGAGUCAGUCAUCCUACCCUGUGUAUCGACAACAAUUUCAGUACCCUCCUUGAUUUGCCUUAGCCUUAACAGCAGAUAUAUAUAUAUGCAAGGGUUCUGCAUGAGCCAGUUUUUGCCAAUGGUAAGGCAGUCUCUACCGCUCAUAAUUAUAGGCAAUAUCUGAGCCUGAAAUGGCAUUGGCUUUUCAUAGCUAAGUUUUUUUUCUUACCAUUUCAUCCAAGAUUUUAGUUAUCCAGCUUGGUGCCAUGAAAUUAAUUGGCUUGGGCACAUCCCUUCAUAAAAUCUCCUUCACCAUGAUAUAGAAAUUUUUACGUAAUAACAAUUUAUAGUCUUCCUUUUCUGCGCUUAGUAUUACAUGAGUAAAAUUAUUGAGUUUCCAUAGAUAUCUACAUUAUCCAGAUGAGACUCUUGUCCAUAGAUAUCUACAUUAUCCAGAUUGUAUUAGCUUCCAAAGGGAAAUGAUCACCACGCGGAUUGGCUAAUUUGUUAAAUACUCUAUGGUUGCUCACGUCUGCAAUUAGAUUGGAGCAAGACAGAGUAGAUCGUACGAUUUAUUGUACAAGAAAAUGGCAUCCUGUUUCUUGAACUAUUCCUACUCUACGGAUAAAACAACUGCGUAUAGUGAGUAGAAGAUUGCUGAAACCAAUGACACUGUUAUUCAACUUAACUAAUAAGCAUUUCAUAAUGUAGUCUUCGCGUAUGAGAGAAAAUAAAAAACAAGAUGAAGAACUGCAAGAACAGGAACUAAUAUGGUCUUCACAGUUCACAGUGCGUGUAGCAUUAUUUGAACUCCGUGUUGUGGACGGACUGUAAGGAAUACAGAGGGCGAAUGAGUAUAGGUCGGGGAAAGAGUGAAUGUGUAGCGUUGUAGAAUCAUUGAAAGGGCAAUCUUUGCUUCAGUGGUGGCAAAGUUUGAGCCUGCACAAACUCGAAGUCCCAUUCCAAGGGGUAAGAAUGCGGCGAUGUUAUCAUUAGUAGCUUUAGCAACUCCUUCUGAGAACCGUUCUGGUUUGAAAAGUGUUGUGCUAGGAUAUCACCAAACCCGUUGGAACCAACUCAAGCUAACCCACAGGAAAUUUAUCAAAUGAAAAUGCAAGAACAAAAUAUUAAAGACACCAAGAUUUUAACGAGGUUCCUCAACAGUCAGUGUAACUGGAGUACGUCCUCGGAGCAGUAGGAGCUCACCCAAUAAUCCACUAUCAACCAAAUGGGAGUUUACAAAGUGUUGGCAAUCUCACAACCCAAAUAACCCAAUACACCCAAUAACUCUCACACACUAAAGAAACAAAUAGAGAAAGAAAUAUAGUGAUUAAUUUCUUCUCUAUACAAAGCUCAAAGCUAUUACAACAAUAAAACUUUGAUGGAGUGAGAACUAACCAAGAAAGAAAAUCACCUUUCUUUCUUAUAUGGGAGCUGUGUACCUCUCUUCUUCUUUCUGCUGCUCCCUUCUAAUUUUUUUCUUCUAUGUGACAACCUUUCUCCCACACCAAAAGGCAGCUAUUGCUGCUAGUUAAAAACCAAAGAGUCCCGUGACUUCUCACAUGGACCAAAGAAAAAACUUUAGACAAAUUUCACUUUUCUUUUCCCCAAAACAAGGAAACAUAAUCAUGUUAUCCUUUCCCCUUUUUUUUCUUUUGGUUUGUUUAUUAGGAAAGGUGAUGGCCACUUGGCCACAAUUCAACAAUCUCCACCUUGGCCAAGUUCCGAAAAACGCCAUGAUAAGCCAACCAACACAAUUAACACACAACAUCACUCCCAAACACUAGCAAGAGAACAACUAUGCUGAGCCAAAUGCUCCAAAACUCCUACUGCUCAACGUCUUCUUUAUAUAGACAUAAUGUGAGCCAAGUUCAAACAGUGAACAAACUUGGCUACACCAACAACCUUAGUCAACAUAUCAGCGGGGUUGUCUUUAGUUGGAAUCUUCUGGAGAAUGAUUUCCCCUUCACCAACAAUUUCACGAACAAAGUGAUAACGCACAUCUAUGUGCUUGGUCCUCGCAUGAUGAACCUGAUACUUAGCCAAAUAAAUGGCACUCUGACUAUCAUAAUGUACCUCCACCUGCUUCUGAUCAACCCCCAAAUCUCUAAUCAACCCAUGUAUCCAAAUGGCCUCCUUUAUAGCUUCAGCAACUGCCAUAUAUUCAGCCUCUGUAGUAGACAAGGCAAUAGACGACUGCAAAAUGGACCUCCAACAAACUGGUCCUUUAGCCAUAGUAAACAUAGCCGAUAGUAGACUUCCUUCCAUCCAGAUCACCUGCAUAAUCUGAAUCAACAUAACCAACUGCAAAAUGACCAAUACCAGAGUCAUCUCUCUCAAAGCAUAAACCAACAUCUCGAGUACCAUGGAGAUACCUCAAUAUCCACUUAGCUGCUUGCCAAUGCUCUUUACCUGGAUUAUGCAUAUAUCGACUCACCAUGCCAACUGCAUGAGCAAUAUCCGGUCUAGAGCAUACCAUUGCAUACAUCAAACUACCAACCAAAUUUGCAUAUGGUAUAUUUUUCAUUUGCAGCUUCUCUUUGUCAGUUUUAGGACACUGUAGAGAACUCAAUUUAAAAUGAGGAGCCAAAGGGGUACUAACCGGUUUGGUUGAAUCAUGAAUUCCAAACUUCCGGAUCAACUUCUCAAGGUAUUGUCUUUGAUUCAAACUGACCAAACCCUUCUCUCUAUCUCUAGUGAUCUCCAUGCCAAAGAUCUUCUUCGCUUCACCAAGAUCCUUCAUCUCAAACUCAUUCUUCAUUUGCUUCUUCAAUUUCUCAAUCUCUUCGACAUUCUUUGAGGCAAUCAACAUAUCAUCAACAUAGAUCAACAAAUAAAUGAAAGACCCAUCUUGCAACUUCUUGAAGUACACACAAUGAUCAUAUUGACUUCUAGAAUAAUUUUGGCCUCUCAUAAAUUUAUCAAACCUCAAAUACCAUUGCCUUGGAGAUUGCUUCAAGCCAUAAAGUGAUUUCUUCAAUUUGCAAAACAAAUUUUCCUUCCCUUUCACUAUAUACCCAUCCGGUUGACACAUAUAAAUAAAUCUCUUCAUUCAAAUCACCAUGUAGGAAAGCCGUCUUCACAUCAAGUUGCACAAGCUCAAGAUCAUAUUGUGCAACAAGAGCUAACAUAAUGCGAAUUGAGGAGUGCUUCACAACCGGAGAAAAGAUUUCAUUGUAGUCAAUGCCCUCCUUUUGUGCAUACCCUUUAGCAACUAAUCUUGCUUUAAAUCUCACAUUGCUUUUCUCAUCAGCACCUUCCUUCUUGGCAUACACCCAUUUGCAACCGAUAGCUUUCUUGCCCUUAGGCAAUUUAGCUAACUCCCAAGUCUUGUUCUUCAAGAGAGAAUUCAUCUCAUCACCCAUGGCAUUGCACCAUCUCUUCUUCUCCUCACUCUCAAUGGCUUCCUCGAAAUUGGAUGGAAUAUCAUCAAUGAUAAUAGGAAGAGCAAAAGCAACAUAGUCACUAUACCGAGCUGGCUUGGUAAUUUGUCUCUUUCCUCUGUUCUUUGCAAUAGACUCUUGAGGUGAAACUUGCUCUUCAACUUGAAUAGAAUCUUCAAGUUCAACUUCUUCAACAUCCUCAUGGUCUCCCACUUCUUCACUUGUAGUGGCUUCGACAUCAGCGAAAAUAGGAUUUGAAGUACCAGAGGCAACUUUCUCAAGCUCCACCUGUUGGACAUCUUUCACAUUCUUCUCAGAGACUUUGUACAUACUUUCUUCGUCAAAUGUCACAUCUCUACUAAUUACCAGUUUCUUCAUCUCUGGACACCACAACCUGUAACCUUUGACACCACUACUAAAACCAAGAAAGAUAGCCUUUUUGGCUCUAGGAUCAAGUUUAUUUUCAGUUACAUGAAAAUAAGCAGGUGAACCAAAAAUACGAAUAUGAUCAUAAUCAGAAGAAGGUUUUCCAGUCCAUACCUCCAUUGGUGUCUUACCCUGAAUAGCAGCUGAUGGUAACCGGUUGAUGAUGUGACAUGCAUAAUUAACUGCCUCUGCCCAAAAUGACUUGCUUAAACCCAACUGAGACAACAUACAUCUAACCUUCUCAAGCAAGGUUCGAUUCAAUCUUUCUGCAACUCCAUUUUGUUGUGGAGUUCCCCGGACACUAAAAUGUCUCACAAUCCCUUCCUCUUUGCAAAGUUUAAAGAAAGGGUCGGAUGUAUAUUCACCACCAUUAUCCGAUCUCAAAAUCUUAAUCUUUCUCCCAGUCUGGUUCUCAACCAUUUUCUUCCAACCCAAGAAAAUGCUCAACACCUCACUCUUGUGCUUCAUAGUGUAGACCCAAGACCUUCUUGAAUAAUCAUCAACAAAGGUCACGAACCAAUGUCUACCACUCAAAAAGGGAGUCUUUGUAGGACCCCAAACAUCUGAAUGCACAUAAUCAAGAAUGCCCUUCGUCUGAUGUACAGCAGUACCAAACUUCACUCUAGUUUGCUUCCCCAAGACACAAUGCUCGCAGAAAUUAAGCUUACAAGUCGUGGCACCUUUUAGAAGACCUUGUUUCACAAGCCCUUGUAGAGCUUUCUCACCGGCAUGGCCUAAUCUCAUAUGCCACAGUCUAGUAGUAUCUGAAUCAGAUAUGCCCAUAUUUUCUGAGACUACAGAUGCUUCACCUGUCACAGUGCUUCCCUGCAAUAAAUACAAAUGGCCACAUCUAGGAGCUUUCAUCAUAACAAGUGCACCAUAAGUAACUUUCAAUGUCUGUCCAUCUGAAUGAAACCUGAAGCCCUUGGAUUCCAAAGUACCCAAAGAAAUAAGAUUUUUCUUCAAAUUCGGUACAUACCGAACACCUGUCAACUCUUUAACCAUGCCAUCAUGCAACUUCAAACGAACUGUACCAAUCCCUUUUGUUGUGCACGGAUUGUCAUCUCCCAUGAACACAACGCCACCAUCAAACUCUUUCAAGCUUGAAAACCAAUCCUUGUGAGGAGUCAUAUGAUGAGUACAACCCGUAUCCAACACCCAUUUAGUAGCACAAUCAAAUGAUGAGGAAGUGGUUAAAGCAAAAUCAAAAACAUCUGUUUCAACCUCAGCAACAUUGGCUUCAGAACUUUCUUUUCCUUUGGUCUUCAACUUAGGCAUUCUUUCUUCCAAUGGCCCUUAUUAUGACAAAAGGCACAUUCAUCCCUUUCCAAAGGUUUUCUACCUUUAGAGUUUCCUCUAGGUCGAGACUGUGAUUUUUUUUCUACUAGAAUGAUCUUCUCUCCGAUGAUCUACCUCUAACAAAUAAAGCUUUGGAGGUAUUAUCAUGAUUUUUAUCUCUAUGCCUCAUUUCAUAAUUCAUCAAGGCAUUUGACACAUCUUCAAAUUUCACAGUUUCUUUACCAUGCAUAAUAGUGGUAACAAAAUGCUCAUAAGAGUCCGGCAAGGAAUUCAACAAUAUUAAGGCCUUAUCUUCAUCCUUAAUAUCCUCAUCUAAAUUUAACAAGUCGGCAAUCAACUUAUUAAAAACAUCAAGGUAUCUAAUCAUUUUUGUACCUUCUUUGUAUUGAAAGCGGUAGAGCUUUUUCUUCAAGUGUAGCCGGUUCUCUGCAUUCUUCUUCAUAUACUUGUCUUCCAAUUUUUGUCACAACACACUUGCUACCGUCUCCCACAUCACAAAAUACUUCUGAGUUUUUGCAAGGCUCAACCGAAUUAAAGAGCAAGCCAACAAAUUUAAUUUUUCCCAUUCCGGCUUCGACAUAGCUUCCGGCUUCUCUCCCAAAGCGGCAAGUAGAUCUUGUUGAGCCAACAUCUUUGACCUCACAUUGCCACAUCCCGAAAUUGUUUGUGCCAUCAAACUUUUCCACUUCGAACUUUGCAUUUUCCACCGUAGUUCUUGCAAACCCGAAGCUGCUUCCAAAAGGAUUUUCAUCUUGCCCGUCUGACAUCUUUGGCAACUAAACAGUACCCAAGAGCAACCAGUGUUCUGAUACCAAUUGUUGUGCUAGGAUAUCACCAAACCCAUUGGAAGCAACUCAAGCUAACCCACAAGAAAUUUAUCAAAUGAAAAUGCAAGAACAAAAUCUUAAAGACACCAAGAUUUUAACGAGGUUCCUCAACAGUCAGUGUAACUGGAGUACGUCCUCGGAGCAGUAGGAGCUCACCCAAUAAUCCACUAUCAACCAAAUGAGAGUUUACAAAGUGUUGGCAAUCUCACAACCCAAAUAACCCAAUACACCCAAUAACUCUCACACACUAAAGAAACAAAUAGAGAAAGAAAUAUAGUGAUUAAUUUCUUCUCUAUACAAAGCUCAAAGCUAUUACAACAAUAAAACUUUGAUGGAGUGAGAACUAACCAAGAAAGAAAAUCACCUUUCUUUCUUAUAUGGGAGCUGCGUACCUCUCUUCUUCUUUCUGCUGCUCCCUUCUAAUUUUUUUCUUCUAUGCGACAACCUUUCUCCCACACCAAAAGGCAGCUAUUGCUGCUAGUUAAAAACCAAAGAGUCUCGUGACUUCUCACAUGGACCAAAGAAAAAACUUUAGACAAAUUUCACUUUUCUUUUCCCCAAAACAAGGAAACAUAAUCAUGUUGUCCUUUCCCUUUUUUUUUUCUUUUGGUUUGUUUAUUAGGAAAGGUGAUGGCCACUUGGCCACAAUUCAACAAAAAGUUGCACGUCCUGUCCCCACAACUGAGGAUCAAAAUGAAGUGGUGAAAUUGGGAUCACCAAGUGGAGGUUAGCAGGAAGAACAAGCCUUCCCAGCCUAGUUUCCUUUUCAACUUUCCUAUUGACAAGGGAAAGAACAGGAGGAUAUAACCUCAGAGACUCGUUCACGAUCAUAGUCAUAUGCACUCAUGAAAAUGAAGAAAUCAGGAUUUGAAACUUAAAUUAAGCAUUUCUGCACUUAGAAAAGCAUUUCAUUGAAUUCUUGACUUUCUUACUGUUUUGAGAUUGGAAAUGCCAUUGGGAUCUGGAGUUUGUUUGCCGAAAAAUUGCUGGACCUCCUUUCUUGCUUUCUCCUGCCAUUCCGGAUGGAGUGCCAAAAGAAAGACUGUCUAAGCUAGCAUUGUGCCAGUACUUUCGUGUCCAGCCAAGUAAAAUGUUUUGCACUCGUCAACCAAAUCUUCCAUUGAAAUCCCUUGGUUAUCAUUGGUAUCGUGAUGAGCCUUUAAAAGUUGUCCAAGGAAAUCACUCCCAAAGUUGUUUGCUUCUCGAUUUAUUGGGUUCCUUUCUCUUCUUUUAACAAUCUCCAUUAGGGAGUCCCUUAUUCCUUUCUCAAGCUUCUGAAAUUCAAUCUCACUGCGGCUUUUAACAAACUUACUGCAAUAUUGAUUCACUAAACGUUACCCAAUGCCAGGAAAUAUUUUUUAUUUUCACUAGUAAUAAGGAUUGAGGUCCAGGUAAAAGGAAGUCACCUGAUGCCAGGAAACCCGGGUCUGAAUGAACUUGAAAAUGUUAAAGCAGAUAACUUCAAUAACAUGUCAAAAAUGUUCUUCCCUUCUACGUAGCUGCUACCAAAAGUUGUCCUAGAAAUCACUUCUGAAGUUAACAACCGAAAUUCUUCAAACACCUCAACCUCCUCGCCUUCAUGAAUUUUCCACCUUUCUAGCAUUGUCUCUGUUGGAGUAUGUGGCCAAGUGGCCAACUUUUGGCUAUAAAAAAUUAUAAAGAAAAAAGGUGGACAACCACUUCCUUGUUUUGGGAAGAAAAAAAGGGUUGCUUUUCUCUUUUACCACCCGUGACUUUGGUUCUUAAUAAUUGUGAGGUUGGUUGCCUUUGGGAGUAAUUGUGAGAAAGAGAAGCAGCCCAUUUCGGUUUUGAAGAGAGGGAGAUAGAGAGCAUCAGAAAAUAAAGGGUGCUGCAUCUCCUCUUUGAAGGGAAGAAGAAAGUGCUCCUCUUCAAUUGGUUAGUAAUUAUCCAUCAAAGUAGUUGUUGUUAUAAUAGCUUUAAGUUAUAUGUAUAGAGAAGAAAUUAUUCAUUCUAUUUCUUUCUCUAUUUGUAUCUUUGGUGUGUGUGAGUUAUUGGGUGUAUUGGGCUUUUGGGUUGUGAGAUUGCCAAUACUUUGUAAACUCCCAUUUGGUUGAUAGUGAAUUAUUGGGUGAGCUCCUACUGCUCCGAGGACGUACUCCAGUUACACUAACUGUGGAGGAACCUCGUUAAAAUCUUGGUGUCUUUAAUAUUUUGUUCUUGCAUUUUCAUUUGAUAAAUUUCCUGUGGGUUAGCUUGAGUUGGUUCCAACGGGUUUGGUGCUAUCCUAGCACAACAAUUGGUAUCAGAGCACUGGUUGCUCUUGGGUACUGUCUAGUUGCCAAAGAUGUCAGACGGGCAACAUGAGAAUCCUUUUGGAAGCAGCUCCGGGUUUGCAAGAACUACGGUGCAAAAUGCAAAGUUCGAAGUGGAAAAGUUUGAUGGCACAAACAAGUUCGGGAUGUGGCAAUGUGAGGUCAAAGAUGUGUUGGCUCAACAAGAUCUACUUGCCGCUUUGGGAGAGAAGCCGGAAGCUAUGUCGAAGCCGGAAUGGGGAAAAUUAAAUUUGUGGGCUUGCUCUUCAAUUCGGUUGUGCCUUGCAAAAACUCAGAAGUAUUUUGUGAUGCGGGAGACAUUAGCAAGUGCGUUGUGGCAAAAAUUGGAAGACAAGUAUAUGUCAAAGAGUGCAGAAAACCGGUUACACUUGAAGAAAAAGCUCUACCGCUUCCAAUACAAAGAAGGUACAAAAAUGAUUAGACACCUUGAUGCUUUUAAUAAGUUGAUUGCCGACUUGUUAAAUUUAGAUGAGGAUAUUAAGGAUGAAGAUAAGGCCUUAAUAUUGUUGAAUUCAUUGCCGGACUCUUAUGAGCAUUUUGUUACCACUAUUAUGUAUGGUAAAAAAACUGUGAAAUUUGAAGAUGUGUCAAAUGCCUUGAUGAAUUAUGAAAUGAGGCAUAGAGAUAAAAAUCAUGAUAGUACCUCUGAAGCUUUAUUUGUUAGAGGUAGAUCAUCGGAGAGAAGAUCAUCUUCUAGUAGGAAAAAAUCACAGUCUCGACCUAGAGGAAACUCUAAAGGUAGAAAACCUUUGGAAAGGGAUGAAUGUGCCUUUUGUCGUAAUAAGGGUCAUUGGAAGAAAGAUUGUCCUAAGUUGAAGACCAAAGGAAAAGAAAGUUCUGAAGCCAGUGUUGCUGAGGUUGAAACAGAUUUUGUUGAUUUUGCUUUAACCACUUCCUCAUCAUUUGAUUGUGCUACUAAAUGGGUGUUGGAUACGGGUUGUACUAAUCAUAUGACUCCUCACAAGAAUUGGUUUUCAAGCUUGAAAGAGUUUGAUGGUGGCGUUGUGUUCAUGGGAGAUGACAAUCCUUGCACAACAAAAGGGAUUGGUAAAGUUCAUUUGAAGUUGCAUGAUGGCAUGGUUAAAGAGUUGACAGGUGUUCGGUAUGUACCGAAUUUGAAGAAAAAUCUUAUUUCUUUGGGUACUUUGGAAUCCAAGGGCUUCAGAUUUCAUUCAGAUGGACAGACAUUGAAAGUUACUUAUGGUGCACUUGUUGUGAUGAAAGCUCAUCGAUGUGGCCAUUUGUAUUUAUUGCAAGGAAGCACUGUGACAGGUGAAGCAUCUGUAGUCUCAGAAAAUAUGGGCAUAUCUGAUUCUGAUACUACUAGACUGUGGCAUAUGAGAUUAGGCCAUGCAGGUGAGAAAGCUCUACAAGGGUUUGUGAAACAAGGUCUUUUAAAAGGUGCCACGACCUGUAAGCUUGAUUUCUGCGAGCAUUGUGUAUUGGGAAAGCAAACUAGAGUGAAGUUUGGUACUGCUGUACAUCAGACGAAUGACAUUCUUGAUUAUGUGCAUUCAGAUGUUUGGGGUCCUACAAAGACUCCCUCUUUGAGUGGUAGACAUUGGUUCGUGACCUUUGUUGAUGAUUAUUCAAGAAGGUCUUGGGUCUACACUAUGAAGCACAAGAGUGAGGUGUUGAGCAUUUUCUUGGGUUGGAAGAAAAUGGUUGAGAACCAGACUGGGAGAAAGAUUAAGAUUUUGAGAUCGGAUAAUGGUGGUGAAUACACAUCUGACCAUUUCUUUAAAGUUUGCAAAGAAGAAGGAAUUGUGAGACAUUUCAGUGUUCGGGGAACUCCACAACAAAAUGGAGUUGCAGAAAGAUUGAAUCGAACCUUGCUUGAGAAGGUUAGAUGUAUGUUGUCUCAGUCGGGUUUAAGCAAGUCAUUUUGGGCAGAAGCAGUUAAUUAUGCAUGUCACAUCAUCAACCGGUUACCCUCAGCUGCUGUUCAGGGUAAGACACCAAUGGAGGUAUGGACUGGAAAACCUUCUUCUGAUUAUGACUAUAUUCGUAUUUUUGGUUCACCUACUUAUUUUCAUGUGACUGAAAAUAAACUUGAUCCUAGAGCCAAAAAGGCUAUCUUUCUUGGUUUUAGUAGUGGUGUAAAAGGUUACCGAUUGUGGUGCCCAGAGAUGAAAAAACUUAUAAUCAGCAGAGAUGUGACAUUUGAUGAAGAAAGUAUGUACAAAGACUCUGAGAAGAAUGUGAAAGAUGUCCAACAGGUGGAGCUUGAGAAAGUUGCCUCUAAUACUUCAAAUCCUAUUUCUGCUGAUGUUGAAGCCACUACAAGUGAAGAAGUUGGAGACCAUGAGGAUGUUGAAGAAGUUGAACUUGAAGAUUCUAUUCAAGUUGAAGAGCAAGUUUCACCUCAAGAGUCUAUUGCCAAGAACAGAGGAAAGAGACAGAUUACCAAGCCAGCUCGGUAUAGUGACUAUGUUGCUUUUGCUCUUCCUAUUAUCAUUGACGAUAUUCCAUCCAAUUUCGAGGAAGCCAUUGAGAAUGAGGAGAAGGAGAGGUGGUGCAAUGCCAUGGGUGAUGAGAUGAAUUCUCUUGAAGAACAAGACUUGGGAGUUAGCUAAAUUGCCUAAGGGCAAGAAAGCUAUCGGUUGCAAAUGGGUGUAUGCCAAGAAGGAAGGUGCUGAUGAGAAAAGCAAUGUGAGAUUUAAAGCAAGAUUAGUUGCUAAAGGGUAUGCACAAAAGGAGGGCAUUGACUACAAUGAAAUCUUUUCUCCGGUUGUGAAGCACUCCUCAAUUCGCAUUAUGUUAGCUCUUGUUGCACAAUAUGAUCUUGAGCUUGUGCAACUUGAUGUGAAGACGGCUUUCCUACAUGGUGAUUUGAAUGAAGAGAUUUAUAUGUGUCAACCGGAUGGAUAUAUAGUGAAAGGGAAGGAGAAUUUGUUUUGCAAAUUGAAGAAAUCACUUUAUGGCUUGAAGCAAUCUCCAAGGCAAUGGUAUUUGAGGUUUGAUAAAUUUAUGAGAGGCCAAAAUUAUUCUAGAAGUCAAUAUGAUCAUUGUGUGUACUUCAAGAAGUUGCAAGAUGGGUCUUUCAUUUAUUUAUUGAUAUAUGUUGAUGAUAUGUUGAUUGCCUUAAAGAAUGUCGAAGAGAUUGAGAAAUUGAAGAAGCAAAUGAAGAUUGAGUUUGAGAUGAAGGAUUUUGGUGAAGCGAAGAAGAUCCUUGGCAUGGAGAUCACUAGAGAUAGAGCGAAGGGUUUGGUUAGUUUGAAUCAAAGACAAUACCUUGAGAAGUUGAUUCGGAAGUUUGGAGUUCAUGAUUCAACCAAACCGGUUAGUACCCCUUUGGCUCCUCAUUUUAAAUUGAGUUCUCUACAAUGUCCUAAAACUGAUAAAGAGAAGCUGCAAAUGAAAAAUAUACCAUAUGCAAAUUUGGUUGGUAGUUUGAUGUAUGUAAUGGUAUGCUCUAGACCGGAUAUUGCUCAUGCAGUUGGCAUGGUGAGUCGAUAUAUGCAUAAUCCAGGUAAAGAGCAUUGGCAAGCAGCUAAGUGGAUAUUGAGGUAUCUCCAUGGUACUGGAGAUGUUGGUUUAUGCAUUGAGAGAGAUGACUCUGGUAUUGGUCAUUUUGCAGUUGGUUAUGUUAAUUCAGAUUAUGCAGGUGAUCUGGAUGGAAGAAAGUCUACUACAGGCUAUGUGUUUACUAUGGCUAAAGGACCAGUUUGUUGAAGGUCCAUUUUGCAGUCAUCUGUUGCCUUGUCUACUACAGAGGCUGAAUAUAUGGCAGUUGCUGAAGCUAUAAAGGAGGCCAUUUGGAUACAUGGGCUGAUUAGAGAUUUGGGGGUUGAUCAGAAGCAGGUGGAGGUACAUUGUGAUAGUCAAAGUGCUAUUUAUUUGGUUAAGUAUCAGGUUCAUCAUGCGAGGACCAAACACAUAGAUGUGCGUUAUCACUUUGUUCGUGAAAUUGUUGGUGAAGGGGAAAUCAUUCUCCAGAAGAUUCCAACUAAAGACAACCCCGCUGAUAUGUUGACUAAGGUUGUUGGUGUAGCCAAGUUUGUUCAUUGCUUGAACUUGGCUCAUAUUUUGCCUAUAUAAAGAAGGCGUUGAGCAGUAAGAGUUUUGGAGCAUUUGGCUCGGCAUGAGUUGUUCUCUUGCUAGUGUUUGGGAGUGAUGUUGUGUGUUAAUUGUGUUGGUUGGCUUAUCAUGGCGUUUUUCGGAACUUGACCAAGGUGGAGAUUGUUGGAGUAUGUGGCCAAGUGGCCAACUUUUGGCUAUAAAAAAUUAUAAAGAAAAAAGGUGGACAACCACUUCCUUGUUUUGGGGAAGAAAAAAAGGGUUGCUUUUCUCUUUUACCACCCGUGACUUUGGUUCUUAAUAAUUGUGAGGUUGGUUGCCUUUGGGAGUAAUUGUGAGAAAGAGAAGCAGCCCAUUUCGGUUUUGAAGAGAGGGAGAUAGAGAGCAUCAGAAAAUAAAGGGUGCUGCAUCUCCUCUUUGAAGGGAAGAAGAAAGUGCUCCUCUUCAAUUGGUUAGUAAUCAUCCACCAAAGUAGUUGUUGUUGUAAUAGCUUUAAGCUAUAUGUAUAGAAAAGAAAUUAUUCAUUAUAUUUCUUUCUCUAUUUGUAUCUUUGGUGUGUGAGAGCUAUUGGGUGUAUUGGGCUUUUGGGUUGUGAGAUUGCCAAUACUUUGUAAACUCCCAUUUGGUUGAUAGUGGAUUAUUGGGUGAGCUCCUACUGCUCCAAGGACGUACUCCAGUUACACUGACUGUGGAGGAACCUCGUUAAAAUCUUGGUGUCUUUAAUAUUUUGUUCUUGCAUUUUCAUUUGAUAAAUUUCCUGUGGGUUAGCUUGAGUUGGUUCCAACGGGUUUGGUGCUAUCCUAGCACAACAGUCUCAGUACUAGCUAUCAUCUCCGAAUGCAUACUCUAGUGAAACAAUAGCAAUAUGCAAUAAACAGAUCCCUUCAAUAAAUAUAAUUAACACAGUGUUAUAAGUUAUAAACUUACUUUUAAGCUCUCUCCAUGGAAGGCAUGGUUGGCUAGCUUUCGCAGUUUUGACCAUUUUUCACCAUCAGUUGUUGUCACGAGACCAUCUCCUAACAGCUUAUUUGCACUGCCUAGGGGCUUGCUUUUCUGAUAAGCUCCAUUUUUGUUCAUCAGUAUCUCUUUGCACUGCCUAGGGGCUUGCUUUUCUGAUAAGCUCCAUUUUUGUUCAUCAGUAUCUCUUUGCACAGUUCAGUUUCCGUAACGACCAACAGAGGUUGAUGACCAUACCAGUAGAGAAAAUUCUUCCCUAACAUUACGGAAAAUGACCAAAAUUAUUCUCGGAACAAAAUUUAAAAAGAAAACUGAAGUCAGUUAAAGAGUUCGUUACCAUAUAUCUUGAUCCAUGAGUGCAUAUGAGGUAGAACAAUGGAAAAUACAUCAUGUGACAAACUUUUGGGCCUGCUCAUGGCUUCCUUUCUCAUGCUGGCAACUUCUUUGUUGUUUCCGUGGAUAAAUCUGUAAGACGGGCCUUUGAUUCCCUGCGAGGUCAUCCGAUUCUGAACUCGAAUCGGAAUGCACCAUAGUUUGUAAAACACCUUGAUGAGAACCAAGAGAAGCAAAAACAGACACACACAGAUUGAAGGAAUGACGUCUGGAUCUCCAAACCAACUCAUGGUUAGUCUUGUUUCUGAACCUAUAUUCUGAGCUUUUCGACACACUCCACCAUUUAAGUAUUGUGCUCAGUCCUCAAUAUAAUUAUUAAAUUGGAUACAUGUGGUACUUGGUUAUAAAUUAUCAUAAUUAUAUCAUAAACCAGCCGUCAUUACUGACCACUUUACCUAAUCAUCAUGGUGACUUAAUGAAAAUCAGGGUGGCAUUCGUUAAUCAGUUAAAAGAGAUGCUAUGAAGACUUUCUCAAAGUAAGACUCUUCAUGAAUUCUUUGUCACCUCACAGUUUUACGUUAAUUCUCGUUUUAACAUUAUAAAACAUUGUGCAAAAAAUAUGAGGUAACAGAGAGUCCAUAGUGAGUCUCACUUUUGAGAGAAUAGUUGAAUAUCAGAGUGCGCAACGAACGAGACUAACAAAAUAAUAUAAAUAUUAUUAAACAACCGAGAAUGCCGAAACGGCUACAAAACCCUAAGAGACUACAUUGUGAAUAAUUUUUUUCUCAAACUAAAUUACAAGCUCUAUUUAUAGAGCAAUAAACCUAAGAAACCCUAAUGCGUAAAUGCCAAAAAUACUCUACUACAAAAUCAAACCAAAUCUCUAAUUAAUUUCCUAAAUAAACUUAAUAAAUUCCAACACUCCCUGUCAAACUCAUGGCGAUACACAUCAUGAGGUUGCCAACAAGCAGAUAUGGACUGGCUCUGUUUGGCGGACAAGCUCCGUUAGGUGGACAAACAGACAGGCAGGCUCCGCAACACGGACAGACAGACAGGCUUCGCAAUGCGAACAAACAGACAGGCUCCGCAACGCGAACAGACAGACAGGCAGGUAUGCAAACUUGACUUGACCUGAUUCUUAACUUGAUUCUUGACUUGACUUGACUUGAUUCUUGAUUCUUGACGGCAAACUGACAAACUGGUUCUUGAUUCUUGACUAGCUAGUGUUGAAAGUAUGGAAAGAACCCAUCACUAAACAGACGAGAUUUCCAUAUCUCAAUUAUAGUAACGAACGAACAAACACAAUUAUCACUCGAGUGGUCACAAUUCCAAGUACUCAAAUGACGGUCACAAAACAAUCCCGUAUAGGCCAACAACUCGUGUGAACCUAAAAACAAACUUAACCAUUUUUUUCUUGUUGCCCGUGUGGACCUUAAACUAACAGCAAACAAUUGUUUUUCUUUUUCCUUCUCUUUUCGAUUUUUGUUUUUUACCUUCCUUCCCAUUAUUCUUUCCUUCUUCUUUCAUGCGAACAAACAGAAUCUUUAUGUUUUCCUUUUUUUUCUUCUGUGCAAACAAUCAAUACCAAAUAACAAAUCUAAAACGAAAGCACAAACAGCAGAAGAUGACAGAAACAAAACUGAUACAAACAAAUUGAUACCAACGAGAACAAAUUGAACCCUAAGGAUCGAACCCGCUCUGAUACCAAGUUGAAUAUCAGAGUGCGCAACAAACGAGACUAACAAAAUAAUAGAAAUAUUAUUAAAUAACCGAGAAUGCCGAAACGGCGACAAAACCCUAAGAGACUACAUUGUGAAUAAUUUUUUUCUCAAACUAAAUUACAAGCUCUAUUUAUAGAGCAAUAAACCUAAGAAACCCUAAUGCGUAAAUGCCAAAAAUACCCUACUACAAAAUCAAACCAAAUCUCUAAUUAAUUUCCUAAAUAAACUUAAUAAAUUCCAACAAGAAUCACCUUAGCAUUUCUCUCAAUUCAAUACAUAUGAAAACGCAGCUGUUUAUUUUCUAAAGUCACCAGCUAAAAGAAUCACCUUAGCAUUUCUCACAGCAGAAUUUGCACUCUGUAUAAGUAAGAAGCUACCAUGUCUGAAGGCAUUCGGUUGGUAAUCGGUACCAAAAGCAUAUAAUAAAAAAUAAAGGACAUAAUGAUGUGAGAACAUCAUUAUGAGGAGAUAAAUGAUUAUAUUUGUUGAAAAGAAAAAAAUGAAGGUCAUGAUGAUGUUUGUAAAGGAAUGGUUAUUCUUUUACUUUGGAUUUUUUAUUGUGUGGUUUUGUAUGGAUGAAGUUAUAAUCCGUAUGUGAGAGAAAUGAAGUGUGCACCAUUUUUUGUUUUAGUAGCCCAUCUUUGAGAGAGCAAAGGAAGCUGCAGAGAGCAGAAUACUAAGAGUAGAAAAAGAAGAAGAAGGUGCUAUUCUUUUUUGUUAGUAAUUACCUACCAAGGUAGUUGUUGUUAUAAUAGUUUUGAGCUUUGUAUAGAGAAGAAAUUAUUCACAAUAUUUCUUUCUCUAUUUGUUUCUUUGGUGUGAGAACUAUUGGUUGUAUUGGGGUUUUUGGGUUGUGAGCUUGCCAACACUUUGUAAACUCCCAUUUGGUUGAUAGUGGAUUAUUGGGUGAGCUCCUACUGCUCCGAGGAUGUACUCCAGUUACACUGACUGUUGAGGAACCUCAUUAAAUUCUUGGUGUUCUUUUAUAUUUUGUUCUUGCAUUCCAUUUGAUAUAUUUCCUGUGAGCUAGCUUGAGUUGGUUCUAACGGGUUUGGUGCUAUCCUAGCAGAACACACAAAAGGGUGAUAAUGUGGCUAUAUUAGUGUUAGUAGCUUUACCAAUCCCGUCUGAGAAUCGUUCUGGCUUGAAAAGGUGCACAUCUUGUCCCCAAAAUUCAGGCUCAAGGUGAAGUGCUAAACAUGGGAUGAUGAGAUGAGAUCAAUAUUAGCGGCAAUGAUGAGCUUUCCCAGUUUAACUUCCCUUCCAGCUUUCCUCCUAAGGGAAACCGCGGGACGGGAGGAUAUAACUUUAGAAACUCGUUGAUGAUCAUAUUCAUCUGCAUCAAAAUGAAAAACCGAAUAGAAGUAAUCCUUUUCAUACUUAAAUUAUUAACAUUUAUGCUACUUCAAAAAUACCAUAUAUCUUGGUCCAUCCGUGAAUAUGAGGUUCAAGUACAGAGGUAUGUCCGUGCGAUAAAUUUUUCAGCCUGCUCAUUACUUCCUUCGCCAUGUUGGAGAUUUCAUUGGCAUUUCCAUGGUUGAGUACGUAGGAAGGGCGUCUGAUCCCCUGCAAAGCCAUCAACUUCUGUAUGCAAAUCGGAGUCCACCAUAUCUUGUGAAGGAUCCUGAAGAGAAAUAGGAGAAGGAACAUGCACAGAGAGCGUGAACGAAUUAUUAGCAAUUCCCUCUAAGAACCCAUUUUCUUCUUCUUCUUUUUUAUGUUCUUUUGUUAUUGUUAAAAAUAAAUAGUAUAACAGAUGGUUCCCUUCAUCUCAUAAUUCUUUAUUCCAUCUCUAAGACAUGAUUUUACAUAGAAUUACAUCUUAUACCAGAUGAUGCGUCUUUUGUUUUUAAUUGAAAAUUAAGGCAUAAAUGUCUCGAACAUAUGGAUACACCAACUGCAGGGUUUAUGGGAAGUUCACAAGAGGGUGUAGAAUGAUUUGAACUCCAUGUUGUGGGCGAAGUAUGAACCGAACGUGCGAGUGGACAUAUGCAGGGGAAAGAGUGAAUCUGUAGCGUUCUAAAAUCUUUGACAGAGCAAUCUUCACUUCAAUGAUUGCAAAAUCCAUACCCACACAAGUCCGAGGUCCCAUUCCAAAGGGUAUGUAUGUGGCUAUGUUAUUGUUAGUAGCUUUAGCAACUCCUCGUGCGAAGCGUUCGGGUUUGAACAGUUGCGCGUCUUGCCCCCAAAAUUCAGGCUCAUGGUGGAUUGCUAGAAUUGGGAUGACCAGUUCAACAUUAGCAGGAAUAAUGAAAUUUCCCAAUCUAACCUCCCUAUCAACUUUCCUCUCCAUGGAAACAGCAGGAGGAUAUAGCCUUAGAGACUCGUUGAUGAUCAUACUCAUCUGAAUGCAAUGACAAGAAAAACUAAUUCGAAAACACACCAAAAUUAAAUUGGGAUUCCAAACUUAGAAGCACUUAUUUGAUUUACUUUCUUACUGUUUUUAGUUUGGCAAUGCCCUCAGGACUCGGAUUUUGUUUUCCAACUAAUUCAAGAACCUCCCUUCUUGCUUCCUCUUGCCAAUCAGUAUGGACUGCCAGAAGGAAUACAAUCCAAGCAAGCUCAAUAUUAGUGGUUUCUUGUCCAGCAAAGUAAAACGUCUUGCACUCGUCGAUCAUAUCAUCCACGGAUAUCCUCUCCUUCUCAUUGGCAUCAUGAUGAGCCUUCAAAAGUAAUCCAAGAUAAUCACUUCCAAAGUCGUUAUUGUUUCCCCUCGUUGCCUUUUCUUCUCUUUUCUCUUAAUAAUCUCAAAUAGGGACUUGUGCAUUCUUUUCUCAAUUCUCUCUGCUUCAGCCUCAUCACUUGUUUGAUACAAUUUACUGCAUUGUUCAGUGAAACAUCAAACAUGAUAAGUGAUUAAGAUAUAAAUAAUAGCUACCCAAUUACAACUUCAUCAACAUCUCAAAAAUGUUUUGUCCUUCACCAUGGUUGCUUCCAAAUGCUGUUUUUGCACACUUCUGAAGUCAACAACCUAAGUUCUUCAAACACCUCAAUCUCUUUGCCCUCAUGAUUUUUCCACCUUUCUAACAUGGUCUCGGUACAAGCUACCAUAUAUUAAUUGUACCUUUAUGGCCAAACGUUAUAUCAUAUAUUUCUAUUUUUAGUUUGCACCUAUUUUUAAUUUGCAACCUUUUUUUUUUUAAAUUGUACCAAUUUUCUUUUCAGUUUUAAUUUGUAUCCAUAUAUUAAUUUAUUUUUGUCCCCAUAUUUUUUAAACUUUGAUUUGUACCCAUAAUUUAUUUAUAAUGUACCCAUUUUUCUUUAAAAAUUUACUACUUCGUUAUAUGCAAAAUGUACCAAUUUUUUGUUUUGUAAGUACCAUUUUUUUUAUGUAAAAUGUACCCAAUACCCUUUAAUUUAUAUAAAAUGUACCAAUUUUUUGUAUGUGAAAUCUACCCACAUUUUUAUAUAAAUGUACCAAUUUUUUAUAUGUAAGAUGUACCCAAAUUUUAUUAUAUAAAUGUACUCAUAUUUUGUAGAAAAUAUAAAAAAAAUGAUAUAUUUUUUUUUUAUAAUCUAGAAUGCACCCAUAAGCAAUAUUUUUUGCUGAAACCCAUAAGCAAAUUUCAAUAAUUAAAUUGGUAGCGUAAAUGAAAGCAAAAUAAUGGUUUGAGUCUUUAUUGGUAUUAUUGCAUCUCUUUUGUUAUCACUUCAUCUGUGUGGCAGGAGAGAUACUUCAAUCUAAAAUGCAUAUGGUUUGAGUCUAUAAUAGUUAGGGACCAGCUAGGGACCACAACUAAUCUAUCCCAAAACAAAAUAUCCCAUCAUGCAUGCUGUCAGCAAAUUUUCCUUGCAAUUUAGUCUUUUUUUUCUUUUUCUUUUUUUUUUCCAUACGAUGCAUGGACAUGGACAUGGAGAUAUAUGACACGGAGAAACGUCAAAUUAGCAAGAAAAAAUUGUUGGAUAACCACAUGGGAAUGCGACUGACAUGAAAAUACGACACGAGACUGGAACACGAGAGGAUAUCAUCUUGUCCAUCCAUCGUAGUUUUUUCCUUUUAUAAAAACAACAAUACCACAACAAUAUAUCACCAGAAAGUAGCUUAAUGAGGAAGAACUUACUUUCAAGCUCUCUCCAUGGAGGGCAUGGUUUGCGAUCUUUCGCAACUUCAUCCAUUUCGCAACAUUUAAUGUGGUCGCCAUGCCAUCUCCUAAUACCUUCUUCUCAAAGUUACCGAACUCUUUUUUCGGAUAAGCUCUGUCUUUGUUAUUGAGUAUCUCUUUGCACAACUCUGGUUCCAUAAUUACCAACUGAGUUUGAGAAUUAUGCCAUUAUAAAUCUUCCCUGAAUUUGCAUGCAAAAAUUACCAAAACUUACCUUCAAACUAAAUUUUAGAAAAUGAUCAUUUUGGCUUCGGUCCCUAAUAAACCUAAUUGUUAGAAUAUGACCUUAUUUGUUUAAAUAGUUUUGAUCAAGGUGCCUAGCAUCAUUUAAGAGAUUUAACUCGUGCAUUUAUCCAUUCAAUAUCCCACAAAUGAUGAAAUUUAAACAAAUCCAAAUAAUAUUGUUUACAAAUCUAACAUUUACUUAAAAAUCAAUAAUAGAGUGAUUUGUUCUUCACAUAGUUCUAGCCAAAAAAAUGUACCCACAUAAUUAUUAAUAUAGUGCAAGAAAUAACUAUUGAUAUAUUUUAAAACAUAAAAUAAACACAUAUAAUUAGUAUGGAUAAGUUCAGAAAAAAAAUAUUGGUACAAAUUAAAUUUAAAAUAUGGGUACACAUUAAAAUUCAAAACUAUGGGUACAAAUUAGAUUGAAAAUAUGGGUACAUAUUAAAAUUCAAAAUUAUGGGUAUAAUUUAAAACUAAAAUUAUUGGUAUAAAUUAAAAAAAGAUACAAAUUAUAAAUAGAAAUAUAUUAAAAAAUACUAAAAAUAUUAUAUUUGAAAAUGAUUAAUAAUUGUUCAUUUUUAAAUUGACAUAUAAUGACUUGUAAAUAAUUUAAUAUUCAAAUAAUAACAUGAAAAAAAGUCAAGAGAUCUGGAUAAAAAUAAAAAAUGAAUAAGGUUUUAAUUAAUGAAAUGAGAAAUGAGGUGUACGAAACUAAUUUAUCCUUUGAAAAAAUACAAUAAAGGAAAAAGUUUUAUAUCCACCACUGACCGUAUAUAUUGGUCCAUGUGUAAACGUGAGGCUGGACUGCACAUACUAUAUCAUGCGACAAAUUUUUGGGGCUGCCCAUGUUUUGCUUCUGCAUUCUCAAAAUUUCUUUGGUGUUUCCAUGGACGAGUCUGUAAGGAGGGCCUUUGAUUCCCUGCAGAGCCAUGAAUUUCUGUAUCCGAGUCGGAGUCCACCAUAGUUUGUGAAAGAUUUUGACGAGAGCUAAGAGAACCAGAAGGACCAGACACAGAAGGCCUGAAAUAGUAGUCAUGAUCAAAACUUCUUGAAGGCUAGGGUUCAUCUGGCAAGUAAAUGGAACUGAAAGUAAUAUAAACAGAUGAUUAUACACACACACACACACACGUGGUGAAGGUUUAUGAACUAUGAGUUACGAGCACUCAAACACGUUUUCUACAUGCACAGACUUGUCUUCUUGUGUAGCAGUUGUUGGAGGUUUCAUCUGCCAAGUUCCCAAAAUGCAGAGAUCCCCUUCCUUCUUCUCCUCUCACAUAUUAUUUUUUGUCUUAUUGUCUCUAUAAAAAAAUCAAUAUAAGAUGUUGACGUGGCUAAACCAUAAUCGUUUAAAUAGGAGAGGAGGGAAGGGGAGAGAGAUUAUGAGAGGAGAGAAUCAUCCUCCAUUUGAAUUUUGAGAAAUGUCAAGGAAACUCUCUCAAAAUUGAAUUUUUUUAUGGAUUCUCUUGCCACCUUAUUUUUCUAGUACAAUGUUUUAGAAUAUUAAUAUAAGGAUUAACGUUAAACUAUGAGAUGACAUAAAAUCUAUAUAGAGUUUAACUUUUAAAAGAGUUUCUUAGUAUUUCUCUUGAGUUUUUUUGUUUGCCUAGUGAUUCCUGUGCUUACCCGAGUGGAGCUUUUCCCAUGGUUUGAUUGUACUCCCGAAUUGUAGCGAUAUUAUAGAGCCAUGACAAUCUUCAUCCCCUCCUCAAAUUCUCAUGAAUUCAUUUUCUAAAUUCUCAUACCAUUCAUUCCUCAAUAAAUCUUGCAUGUGGUCUAAUAUCUUUUUGUGUAGAGUGUUGGGUUUACACCCAUGCGUUCUGAGUUUGAAACUCCCUCGUAUCUAAAUUAUUACAAUAAUUUUGAACAUUAAUAAUAAAAAAAUUUAAAUAAAAAAAUUCUUCAAGAAAAUCAAUAAGAACUUAUAACCAGAAAUGCUUAUUAUUUAAGAAGUACUUGGAUAUUUUUUGCUAAAUUUCCAACAUGUUUAUAUAAGUUGUUCUAGCAAAAACGUUUAUUAAAAAUAAAAAAUAAAAAAUAUUUCCUACAAUAUUAGUUCUUUACCGGUCGCGGUUCCAAAUUGGCCCGCCUUCGGUAAAUUCUACUGGGCCUCUUUGCCAGAAUUUGUACAUGGAAUCCAGUCCAAAGCAGUCAAAUAUCUGGCAAAGCUUAGCCUCCAUGCAAGAAAAGGUAUUUCGGCCUCGCAAAAUAGCGAGCAGUUUCGGGCAUGGAGAUUGCAAUUUAGUGCAGCUAAAGUCUCAAAAAUGACAAAGCUAUAUAUUCAAGUUACUCAAUGUGUGUGUCCUUAUCAUGUCUCCACGACAAAACAUAUAUUUCGUUUGGCCGUCUAGAAAAGCAAAUUACGUUUGUCUUUUUCUGUUUAACUCAGACAAAUUUGAAAGAAUAUAUAUAGAAAAAGACUUAUGAAUUGUGAACACAAACUACUGAUGAACCGAGCCUAUUAAUUUCAUGUUGAAAACGGCAAUUUCUAGGUCUAAACACGUGUAAAGCGUGUUAUUUAAUUGCAUACUUAAUUAGUAGUAUAUAUACAAUAUACAAUAUCAACAUCAUCAAUUUCGUGCUUCUAAGUGUAUGAAGUGAAAGCUUAGAUAGUGGCUACCUCACUUUCUUGUACAUCAACUUCCCUUUCAGUAAGGCUGAUCUUUCAAAUUAACAAACAAUACAAACUAAAGAAGGUAAUUGCCAGACAUAUAGCUUUUUUUUGGGGGUGUGCUAUCCACACACCCCAUUUUACUUCUCACACACCUUUUGAUGAUUUAUGUCCGUUAAUCUUCUUCAAUUCAUCCGAUCUGAAGGCCGAAAAUUAAAAAGGUGUGUGAAAAGUAAAAUGGGAUGUAUGGAUAUCAUAUCUUUUUUUUUAUGUUUUUUGGGCCUGGAUAUUCUUGUUUUCUAGGCCUGUGCAGCCUGGGAUUUGGUCCUAGUAGUUCAAUUCUCUUUUCAAUUGUAUCAAUUUACGAUGGCAAGAUUCACAAACCUCAUGUUUUUUUUUUUUUUUUUUAACUUUUGUGCAUUUACCACUCAGACAAAAUAAAAUAAAGAUUACAAUUAAUCCCCUAGACUUAACAUGCCACAUACAUUCAAUUUUCAUCCAUAAUUUCAUUAAGUUUCAUCAAGGUAGUGCUAUUUACACUCUUUUGUUUUUUUCCAUGUACUUCUCAAUUUUCAAUUGUUCAAAUUGAAUAAAUUGAAAAGAAUCAAAAGUGAAGAAAGUUGAGGUUCUACCAUAAAACUAAUUGGCAAUAUGGAGAGUAACCCAACCUCUUAUAAGCCUAUGCAAGGUCCCUCCUCCCAUUAGCUAAGAUUCAUUCGCAAUACGCUCCUCUCACGUGUGGCGAAUUUCUAAGCCUAAUACGUUGACAACACAACGAGGUGGAGCAAGUGUAGUUGUUGGGCUUCACACGUGGGACAACAUGCUCUGAUACCAUGAAGAAAGUUGAGGUUCCACUAUAACACCAAUUGAAAAUAUGGAGAGUAGUCCAACCUUUUAUAAGCUCAUGCAAUGUCCAUUCUCCCAUCAAUGUGUGACUCAUUCUCAACACGACCCCUCACGUGUGACAAAUUUUCAAGCUUAAUACGUGGACAACAUAACAGGUGACGUGGAGUGCGUGUGGCCGUUUGGCUUCACACGUAUUAGGCUUGAAAAUCCGCCACCCAUGAGGGGGUGUGUUGAGAAUAAAUCACGCAUUGAUGAGAGGAGGGAUCUUGCAUAGACUAAUAAGAGGUUGGGCUACACCUCAUAUUGUCAAUUGGUUUUAUGGUGGAACCUCAACUUUUUUCAUGGUAUCAGAGCAUGUUGGUUCACAUAUGAAGCUCAAUGGCCACACGUGUUUCACGUCACUCCGUUUGUGUUGUCCACAUCAUCUAAAUUAAUAGAAUGUGUACAAAAGAUAAAAAUAUGUGUGAAUCAUAUAGUCCACAUCACCUAAAUUAAUAGAAUGUGUACAAAAGAUAAAAAUAUGUGUGAAUCAUAUCAUCCUUCAUCAAUCCCCAAGUUGAAUGAAAGUGGAAAAAAACCCGACCAUUUCUCCAUUAUCAUCUAUUAGAUCAUGUUCAUCACAAACAAUCGGAUCUAUUAAGUUCAUACCCGUUUUAUAAUAUACAUAUAUAUAUUGCUGGAAUAUUUAUCGAAGACACUAAAUCUGUGUACUCAGCAGUCGGUACUCCAUUCACCAAGUCCAGGAAAAGUUUAUGGGCAGUCCACAAGAGGAUGUAGAAUUACUUGAACUCCAUAUCGCGGACGAAGCGUAAGAAGCUGAAAAGGCGAGUGGGUGUAAGCAGGGGAGAGACUGAAGCUGUACCGCUGUAAAAUCAUCGACAGUGCAAUCUUCGCUUCGUUGGCUACAAAGUUCAUGCCUGCACAAGUUCGAGGUCCCAUUCCGAAGGGCAUGAAUGCACCCAUAUUAUUGUUGGUAGCUUUAGCAACCCCGUCUGAGAAUCGAUCUGGUUUAAAAAGUUGCGCGUCAGGUCCCCAGAAUUCGGGCUCAUGGUGAAGUGCUAGAAUCGGAAUAACCAAAUCUAAAUUGACAGGAACCAUGAACUUUCCCAACCUAGCUUCCUUUUUAACUGUCCUUGAAAUAGAAACAGCGGGAGGAUAUAACCUUAGAGACUCGUUGAGGAUCAUACUCAUCUGCAUGCAUGAAAACAGAAAAUUAUAUUGUGACAAUUAAAAAAGAAAUUAAAAAUUGUGUGACAUUAGUUAAUUCUUAAUUUCUUACUGUUUUUAGUUUCGAAAUGCCAUCAGCGUUCGGUGUUCGUUCUCCAAAGAUUUGUAAGACCUCCUUUCUUGCUUUCUCUUGCCAAUCCGCAUGGAUAGCCAGAAGCAAGACAGUCCAAGCAAGCAAAACAGUAGUGGUUUCUUGUCCAGCAAAGUAAAACGCCUUGCACUCGCUGAUUAAAUCUUCCACCGAUAUCCUCUGCUUGUCAUCGGCAUCAUCAUGAUCCUUCAAAAGUAGUCCAAGAUAAUCACUCCCGAACCUGUCUUCUUCUCCAUUCCUUAAUAUUGCCUUCUCUUUUCGUUUCUUAAUAAUCUCCAUUACCGAGUUGUGCAGUGCUUUCUCAAUUUUCUCCGCUUCUAUUUCAUCACUGGUUUUAUAAAACUUACUGUAAUAUUUGAGUGAAAUUAAUUAGACAGUCUAGGGGUACUCCCCUUGCACUUGUAAGUGAGAAGUCUUAGGUUCGACUCUCGCCAAAGGUGAAUUUGAACCAAAUUAUCGCUAGCCUAUUGUAUUAUCACUAGCCUAUUGUGAGGCUAAGCCUAUUAUGAUUAGGGAAAAGAGUAUAUUGGAUACCUGAUAAGGGAGUAUAUUAUUUACCUGAUACCGGGAAACCUGACUGUAUAAAAGUUCUUGAAUGCAAAGAAGCUUAGCUUCAUUAACAACUCAAAAAUGAGCUUUCCUUCUAAGUAGCUGCUGCCAAAAGCUGUUUUGGAAAUCACUUCUGAAGUCAUCAACUUAAAUUCUUCAAACACCUCAAUUUCUUUGCCUUCAUAGUUUUUCCACCUUUCUAGCAUCGACUCGGCACUAGCUACCAUUGCUGGAAGCAUACCCUAGUAAAAAAAAAAAAAAUUAAUAAUAAAAUAAAAUAAAAUAAUAUAUAUAUAUACAAGUCAAAUAAUUGUAUCAGAGUUUCCACAAAUUGUAAGGAAUAAUAAUAGCUUACUUUUAAAUUCUCUCCAUGGAAGGCAUGGUUUGCGAGCUUUCGCAAUUUUGUCCACUUUUCAUACUCGGGUGUUGUCAGAACGCUAUCUCCAAGUAGCUUCUUGGGAUAGUCUUUGAUCUUUGAUUUUGGAUAAGCUCUAUCUUUGUUUUGGAGUAUUUCCUUGCACAAUUCAGGAUCUCUAAUCACCAACUGAGGUUGAGAACCAUGCCACUGAAGAAAAUACUUCCCUGUUGUGUGCAAAAAAAUGACCAACAUUAAAUAUUCGGAACUAAAUAAAUUUAACUAAGAACGAUAAGAUAAUUAAUUAAUGAAGUUAAGAGUUAAGAUUUUAGUUACCAUAUACGUUCGUCCACGAGUGAAAAUGAGGUAGAACAUGAGAUAAUAUGUCAUGUGACAAACUCUUGGGACUGCUCAUUGUUUCUUUUUUCAUGCUGGAUAUUUCUUUCGUGUUUCCAUAAACAAGUUUGUAAGAAGGGCCUUUGAUUCCCUGCGAAGCCAUCAGUUUCUGCAUGCGAGCCGGCUUCCACCAUAGUUUGUGAAGGAUGCUGAUGAGAACUGAGACAAGGAAGAAGCACAGAAAGCCCUCCAAAGAACUCAUAAUUUUCUCUUAUAGCUCUCUAAACCUAGCUACUGUGGUUUUAAGUUUCCUAGCUACUUAGGUUUCCUUACUGGAUAUUUCUUUCGUAUUUAUAGCAUGAGCCGUCACUCAGAAACCGCUAGGGUUUCGUCCGCGGAAGGAGCCAAGUAUUUUCUGAAUCAAAACACAUAUCAGUGUCAUGGAGCUCUAUAUUUGGAAAUGUAUGUCUCCUUGCUUUGUCAGCAAUGGCUAUCCUUGUUGGGAAAUGGUACAUUCUUACACGCCUUAUAUAGCUCUAGCUUUUCGGAAAUUAAAGUAUAUAAGUUAUUUCCAUGUGAAAAGAUUUUUGGCUUGCAAAUAAGUGAGCAACAUUUCUGGUGGUGUAUCCAUUAUUUUCCAUACAUGGAGACUACAAGUUAGGGCGGCUAAAACCUCAUAAAUGACAUGACGUACUCAAUGUGCUUGUCCUUAUCAUGCAUACACAUAUCUUUCAACUUGACUGCCUAGAAAACCAAAUUACGUGGGCACUUGAAAAAGUCAAUUACGUUCACCGCCUUCUAUUUAACUCAAACAAAUUUAAAAGAAUACAUAUAAAAAAAAAAGACGUAUGAAUCGAGCAUGCAAACUAUUGAUGAAUUGAGCCAACAUAUGUCAUGUAGAGGCUGCUAAAUGUAUGUCUAAACACAUACAAGACGUGUUAUUGAAGUGGUAUAUUUGUAUACAAUAUCAACAUCAUCAAUAUCGUGUCCCUAGGGUUUGACGGUGUUCUGUCGGCGUCGUCCCAGGCGGCGUCGUCCCGGCGCCGUUGUUGAAUCUUCCACAUCGCCAUCCGUUGGUCUUGGUUCGUUAUUUCGCUGCGCUGGUUACUCUUCGGUGUUGAAGAUUGGCUGCUGUUUGCGAACUGCGAUAACCCGCAAUUGGGGUUUUUAAUCUAAAGCAAUUCUUAGGGUCUUGCUGCACCUAUACUGCACCAACAGACUCUGCUUUUGAAGGAUUUUCAACAAUUGGUUGCACCUACACACUUUUCAACAGGUUGAACUAUCUAAUUUUAUAUUUAAUUUUUUUUUUUUUUUUUUUUAUAUUAUUAUUUUGGAAUGCAUUUUGUUCUAGGUUAAUCUCUUGGUUUCCAUGGACAAGUCACCCGUUGCCUUAUGCCCAUGGGGAUUUCUUGACUUCUCUGCUACUUCUUCCAAAUUGAAUACUGCCACUGGUCAAUUAUCCGGACAACUUCCAAAAGCACGAACCUUUGCUGCCAUUGUCACAAAUGGUGUGGAAACUUCAGUUAAUUUAAGUCAACUUCCCUCUCCUACUGUUCGGGGAGAUGUGACUUAUGUUAAAAUCAGUGAGGACCUUUAUCAAGAACAAUUACGUUCAUGUCGAACAAACCUCAUUGGUAGGCUUUUGUUAAAAAAAGGAACGAUGCCGAUGAAGACUGAGCUUCUCAAGAGUGCUUUGGCUUCUUUAUGGAAGCUUCACAAUUCAUGGAAACUGGUACCUCUUGGCAAGGGCUAUUUUGAUCUUCACUUUUCCAGCGAAGAAGAUAUGAGAAGAGUGUGGGGUGGUGGAACCUGUACACUUCAAUUUGGUCUUUUUAGGCUGUCUCAAUGGCAACCAGAUUUCAAACCUGGUGAUGUCCUUCCCCAAACACAUGCUCAGGUAUGGAUCAAAAUAUAUGGCCUAAGUCAAGAGUAUUGGCACCCUCGCAUUCUUAUGGAAAUUGCUCGUGGGGUGGGUACCCCACUCCAGUUGGAUCAUGCUACACGUGAAAAGUUAUAUGGUUAUUAUGCUAGAAUUUUGGUCGAUGUGGAUCUUUCUGCUGAUUUGCCUUCGACUAUUAUGGUUGAGCGGGAACAACAUGGUUUUUCUGUUGAUAUUAUUUAUGAGAAUUUGCCACCAACCUGUGGUCAUUGUGGUGUAAUUGGCCAUAAUACAAACAAAUGCCGGCAUUUAAAGGGUAAUCAUUCUGAUGGGAUGCAUCCGCAUGUUGAGGCGCAUCGUCGUGGACGAUCACCAACUCGUCAAGUUUAUCGUCCAAAACCAUCGGCUAAGACUGUUUCUCCUCCAGGUGAUACUAUACACAUGGAACGUUCCCCUUCAGUUGAAAUUCUUCACAAUAAUCGUUCUACUGGACUUAAUAAUGAUAUGGGAGCCCCACUUUGUAGCUCUCUUGAGCAACGCCAUACUGAACAAGUCAAUGAUUUUGCGAAUCAAAUACUAAUGACUGUUGUGAAUAAUGAGCUAAGUGUGUUGGCUGACAAGGUCAUUGAUUCAUCAACAGAUCCUCAUGGUCACCUAGAGACAAUUUCAGAUAGACAGCUUCUAAAGGUACAACCAACCAAUAUUAUUAAUGAUUCCCCUUCUUGCAACUUGAAUGAUACUCUUUCAGAGGAGAUGAGAGAUGAGCCUUCGGAAGAAAUUAAUAUCGACCACAAUGUUGAUGUUGAUGUCCCACCUGGUUUUGGUUUGAGGAAAGAGAUCAAUGUUGUGGAUGCAGGGAAGGAUUCAAAUGACUUUACUCUAGUUCUUAGUAAAUCCCAGCAAAAGAAACAAAAGAAAAACCAAAAAGUUGAUGCAUGUAGGCAAGAAGAACCCUAUGUUACAAGGGCAGGAAGACAAGUUAUUUCUACCUCCAAAUGAAGCUAGUUUAUUGGAAUAUUCGCGGUAUUGGUAAUUCCGAUACACGUACGGAGCUUUCUAAUGUUUGCCACUCUCAUCAUCCUGACUUGGUUUGCAUCUCUGAACCUAUGGUUACUUUUGAUUCUAUUCCUUCUGCUUAUUGGAAUUCAUUAGGUCUCUCUUUACUUACUAUCAAUAACAGGGAUGAUUUAUUGCCUAAUAUUUGGGUUUUGUACUCUACGGACUAUUGUUCUCCUACUGUGAUUUCUUCUUCAGGGCAACAAGUUACUUUUCAGACUUCUUUUGAGGGUGUUCUUUCUCAGUUUACUAUUGUUUAUGCGGCUACUACCUCGACACUUCGUCGUGUUUUAUGGUGUGACCUCUUAAAUAUCCGUUCUAAUACUACAAUGCCGUGGAUGGCAAUUGGUGACUUUAAUGCUAUCCUUGGAGCGCAUGAGCAAAUGGGUGGUCACUUGCCUGCUCGAACUUCAUGUGAGGACUUUCGCAGUACUACUGAGCUUUGUGACUUUACUCAUAUGGAUACUACUGGUGCUUUUUACACUUGGACUAAUGGUUGGAAUGUCCGUGGUUAUAUGGAGAGGCGUCUUGACCGCUCUCUUUGUGACACACGUUGGUUACAUUCUUGGCCUUAUACUAGUUGUUGUGCUUUACCCAGGGUCGUUUCUGAUCAUAAUUGUCUAGUUUUCUCGGCUUCUGCUAUUCGUCUUGGAGGUCCGCGACCUUUUCGGUUUCAGUCCAUGUGGACUUUACAUUCAGAAUUUUCUGGUUUGGUUGCUAAGUGUUGGCAAUCAACUGUUGUCUAUGGGUGUCCCAUGUUUGUUAUGUUGGAAAAGCUUAAGGCCCUUAAGCGCUGUCUUCGAGUUUGGAACUCUACUGUUUUUGGCGAUGUCCAUAGAAAUGUCACUUUUGCUAAAGAAAGACUUCAGAAUAUCCAAAAUAGUAUUUCUUCUGAUGGGAAUUCGCAAGAGAAGUUUAAUGAGGAAGUUGUGGCUAAGACGGCUGUCCUCGAUGCUCUUCAGAUGCAAGAAGCUUUUUGGCAUGACCGUGCUCGAGUUAAAUGGCUCACUGAGGGUGAUCGUAAUACCGCUUUUUUCCAUGCUUAUGCUCGAGGUAGGCAUUCUUCCUCCAGGAUUGUAAAUCUUUUAGAUGGUGAAAAUGUACUCUCUUCACAUACUGCUAUUGUUGAUCAUGUGGUAAACUUUUAUCAGUCUUUAUAUAAUUCUUCGUUCACCCCAACUGGAAUUGAGGAUGUUUGUGGUGUAAUACCACCUAUGGUUAGUGAAGAGGAAAAUCUUUCUCUUUCUUGUUUACCUUCAGCAGAUGAAAUUAGAAGUGUUGUCUUUUCUAUGGAUCCUUCGAGUGCUCCGGGACCUGAUGGUUUUCCUGGUUCCUUUUAUCAGUCAUGCUGGGAUAUUGUUGGUUAGAUGUGAUUGCUUUUGUACAAGAUUUUUUUAAGCGUGGAUGGCUUUAUCCCAAUGCCAAUUGCAAUUUUGUGGUGCUUAUCCCUAAAGUAGAAGGUGUUGCCACAAUUGCUCAGUAUCGGCCCAUUGCUCUUGCUAACUUUCUGUUCAAAAUUAUCCCCAAGAUUCUUGCUGAUCGGCUCAGCCCAAUUGCCACUCGCAUUAUUUCUCCUCAACAAACGGCAUUUUUGAAAGGUAGACGUAUUUCUGAUUGCAUUGGGCUAGUUUCAGAAGGGUUCAAUUUUAUGGACAAAAAGGCUUUUGGAGGUAAUGUAGGCAUAAAAGUCGACAUCGCUAAAGCUUUUGAUACUUUGAACUGGGAUUUUCUUCUCCAUGUGCUUUCUAGUUUUGGUUUUUCUAGUAUCUUUGUGGAUUGGGUGCGGGUUUUAUUACAGUCAGCUCGCCUUUCAAUUCUGGUAAAUGGCACACCGCAUGGGUUUUUCUCUUGCUCCCGAGGGGUACGUCAGGGUGACCCUCUUCUCCACUUCUUUUUUGUCUAGCAGAGGAAGCUUUGAGUAGAGGUUUAUCUUCGCUUUUCUCUACUAGAAAGAUUACUUCUAUUUCAGCUCCGCGAGGUUGUUGCCCUCCUACUCAUGUGUUAUAUGCUGAUGAUCUUUUCAUUUUUUGUCGUGGGAAUGUUCGAUCUCUUUGUUCUCUUCGAAAUUUCUUGGAUAAGUAUGGUUGUGCAUCGGGGCAACUUGUUAAUGCAUCUAAGAGUACUUUUUAUCUUAGCUCUUCCUCAGCCCAUCGUAAAGCUCAUGUUUCUAGGCAUCUUGGCUUUCGUUUGGGUGUUGUUCCUUUCACUUAUCUUGGGGUACCCAUUUUUCGAGGUAAGCCAAAGAGAAUUCACUUUCAAGCUUUGGUAGACAAGGCUAAAGCUCGCCUCUCGGGUUGGAAAGGUAAACUUCUCUCAAUGGCUGGACGAUUUCAAUUGGUACAGUCUGUUUAUCAAAGCUUAUUUCUCCAUAGCUUCUCUGUUUAUCAAUUGCCAUCUUGCAUUUUAAAGCAUCUUUCUGCUUGCGCAAGGAAUUUUAUUUGGUCAGGGGAUUUAUCUUCCCGAAAAUUGGUAACAGUUGAUUGGAGUAUGGUGUGUGGACCUAAAAAAGAAGGUGGGCUUGGUCUUCGUGAUUUAGCUUCUUUGAAUUUAACGGCUUUGCUUAGUUUUGGAUGGGAUGCUUUACAAUCUUACUCUUUGUGGGGUUCUUUUGCUCGUCAGCGUUUUCCUCUUUCGCCUUACAGAAAUCAAAAUAUCUAUUUACGGUCUUCUGUGUGGCAUGGUUUGAAGCGUGCUUUGCCUAUUUUGAAUAAUAAUAGUCGUUGGAUUAUUGGUGAUGGGAGGUCAGUUUCCUUUUGGUUUGACAAAUGGUUGGAUGAGCCUAUUAUUAGUCCUUCUUUAUUUUCGGUCAUUUCACCUAAGGUUCUUCCUCGGGUUUCAGAUGUUAUUGAAGCACAAAGUUGGUCUUUGCCAGAUUAUUUUUCAAAUUUAUUCCCUUCAAUUGUGCAACAGAUUUUACGUCUACCUUUGCCUUUAAAUGCUAAGGAUGACAAAUUGAUUUGGGAGCCCUCACCUACUGGGAAGUUUUCUUUUUCUUCUGGUUAUCACCUUAUUCGAAGGAGACAUAGUGAUUGUGCUUGGGCUAAGGUUAUCUGGCAACAUUUUAUUCCGCCACGACUAUCUAUUUUGGCUUGGAGGCUUUUUUCAUGAUAAACUUCCUACAGAAGAUGCGUUACAACGACGUGGUAUUUCUUUGGCAUCCAUUUGUUGUUUAUGUCAUAAUUCUGAAGAAUCUACUGCUCAUCUUUUCUUUGGAUGUCGGAUAUCUAGGCAACUUUGGAGGUGGUUAGCAUGUCAAUUUGGUACAUCUUUACCUCUUCCAGAUUCUUUGGUUGCUUUUUGGGAUGUAUAUGUUCGUAAGCCAUUUUCCAAACAAUUGCACAAUCUAUGGAUUUUUGCGGGUCUUUCUACUAUUUCAGCUAUUUGGAAGGCUCGAAAUAAAUUUAUUUUUGAGGGUCGUCCAAUCUAUUUUCAUCGUCUUUGCAUGUCUAUUAAUUCGGCGAUUGUUCAUGGUGGGAAGUUUAUUCCUGGUUAUUCUCAGGGUUUUGACACUCGAAUAAUUUAUUCUUUGGGGAUCCAACCUAUCCCUCGCAAGGCUCCUACUAUUCUUCCUGUCCUUUGGUCUCCUCCUUGGUUUCCUUGGGUUAAGCUUAAUACAGAUGGUUUGUCUAAAGGAAAUCCCGGUCCUGCUGCAUGUGGAGGAGUUUUCAGGAAUUGCCAUGGUCGUUUUCUCGGAGGUUUCUGUCAACGGAUUGGUCAUUGCAACUCUUUUUUUGCAGAGUUAUCAGCAAUUAUUAUUGGUAUUGAGUUUGCUUAUCAGCGGGGUUGGCACUGUCUUUGGUUGGAAAGUGAUAGUUCUAGUGUUAUUUCUGCUCUUCAAUCAUCUGAUUUUGAUCCUCCUUGGCCUCUUCAUACGCAAUGGUCUAUUUGUUUGGAUCGCAUUCGGGAAAAUGACUUUCUACGCAUCUCACAUAUAUCGAGAAGGAAAUCUUGUUGCGGACAAUUUUGCUAACAUGGGCUUGUCUUCUCCAUCUUUAACAUGGCAUGAUUCUCCUCCGAUGGCGGUUCGUGCUACUCUGUUUUCUGACUAUGUUGGCUUGCCUGGUUACCGCUUUCUCAAAUUAAUGUGCAUGUCGGCAUCCAGGUUUGUCUCACUUUCCUUUUUUUCUCCUAUCUUUAUGGUGUUGUUUGAUUUGUUUUGCAGGUUUAGACCUUCAUGUUUGGUUCUAGAGGGGUUAGGUUUCAUGUCCCCCCCUCUUUCUUUGUAUCAUUCUCAUUUUUUGUUUCUAGAAGGGUAAGGUUUAUGUCCCCCCUUCUUUCUAGUGUAUUCCUUUUUGUUAUCUCUGUUUUUUGGAGGGGUAAGGUUUAUGUCCCCCCCUGACUAGGUGUACCUUGUUUUUUCGUUAUCAAUAAAAUUACCCUCGUACCGUCGAGGUUUUCCAAAAAAAAAAAAAAAAAAAAAAAAAAAAAAAAAAAAAAAAAAAAAAAAAAAAAAAAAAAGAAGUGGUAUAUUUGUAUACAAUAUCAACAUCAUCAAUAUCGUGCUUCUAAUUACAAUUUUAGGAAGUGAAAGAUUAGCAAGAGCCUAGCUAGUGGUUACCUCAGUAUGUUGUAAAUCUACGUCUGUAUUAAAUAAGCCUCAUCUUUAUCUGAUGCAACAAUACAAAAGGCGAAUUGGUAUUGAACUCUUUGUUGGAUGUAUGUCAACAAUCUGUGAUAAUUUAUUUAUGCUAAUAAAUAAUAAAUGCAAUAGGAAUUAACAGAAUAUAAACUAGAAUACGAAUUAUAAAAACAAACAACUUGAAGAUCGAGGCUUGCGUACCGCAAUGUCCUUGAAACAAAAAUUUCGUCUCUACUCUGUGCUUGUAGUUCUACGGACGUCUGCUUAACCAGGAUUCAACGAUCAAGUUAAAAUUCCAGCACCGGAAAAUUUAACUUCUGGCGAAUUUAGUGUGGUUCUCUCAGUAAGAAGGUUUAGGAAUGUAGAAGAUGAAGUUGAUUAUUUUCUGUGUUUUAGAUGCUAUGCAGAUGAAUGUAUAUAUAGCAGAUGGAUGCCUUUUUGUAACAGGUAUGAGAAUGGGGUGUAACUGUUGGGAGACAUCUCUUCAGAGGGGUGCUUUGCUCUGUGUUCAGAAAGAACUCUCAGACUUCAUCUGAAAGGAUGAGUCUUUUCAUAAAAAAUAAAUAAUUAAUUAAAUUCGAAUUUAAUUAAAAAAUAAUUAAUUAUAUAUUAAUUACCAAAUAAUUAAUACACCCCAAAGCCCAACCCCAAGGGUGAGCCCAAUUUUAGUCUCCAGGCCUAUUACUCCAAUCACUUUCUUUAAAGGACAAAGCCUUAUAAAGUGAUAAAAUCUUUUGGGAAUGGCCAAUGUGGGACAAGGAAAUUUCUACUCAAACUACUCAAAUUUCCAACAAUACCCCACAUUUGAGUUGAAAUUUCAUUCAAACUCCAACAAUAACAAUGACCCCACAUUUGAAUGCAAAUGUAAAUGCAAAUGUGUGACUAGGUUGCCUAAAACUGAGAGAGAAUAGUCAUGAUAUGCAUCGGGUGAAGUGUCUUUUGGACUUGAACUUACCCUAGUGAAAACAUAUCGGGUUUACUUGGUGAUGCAGUGGAUGUGGAAGAUCUUGAACUGUUCACCGCAGUAGUAAACCAAGACAAUAUGCUACACACAUAUCAUGGCUGCCACACGUCAAUUCAUACGGUUGUGUUCAUUUUGGCCCUGAACAGAUCCCGGAUUUCGUAGGAGCUUUAGAGAAUUUAGCCAUAUCAAUUCUCAUAAAUGUGGCCCCAUUUACUCCUAUAUAGGUGACAUUAGUUAAGAAUAGUCUGCUAUAUUCCUCUUGAUAACAAGAUAUUAAUGUCAUUAAAUGUAUAAAACAUAACCCCUCAAACGUCAACAGACAACACACAUUUUAUCAUAAGAAUGGGUAAGUUAUGUGUUCAACUUUUGAAUCAAACUCAACUAGUUUGCCUAUUGAACCUAGACUAUGGGAUCUCCAAUCAGCUAGGUUAGGUUUCCGGCCAGUUCAAUUCAUUGAAUUGGCUUAAGACCCAUUCCCCUCGAUGUAAAUAAUAUUUGCUCUCUUGGUAGGCCUUUUGUCAAAAGAUCAGCCAUAUUUUCCUUUGACUUCACAUAAUCAAUGGAUAUUAUUCCAUUGGAGAGCAUCUUCUUAAGAGUAUUGUGUCGACGUCUGAUGUGACGUGACUUCCCAUUGUAUACAUGACUUUUGGCCCUUGAUUGAGCGGCCAUACUAUCACAAUGUAUACAUAUAGCCGUUACCGGCUUUGGCCACAUUGGAAUAUCCUCCAGAAAAUUUUUGAGCCACUCGGCUUCUUCGCCAGCCAAGUCUAAAGCUAUAAACUCAUAUUCCAUGGUGGACCGACCUAUACAUUUCUGUUUAGAGGAUUUCCAAGAUAUUGCUGCACCUCCCAAGGUAAAAACAUAUCCACUUGUCGACUUGGAUUCUGUAGUGUCAGAAAUCCAAUUGGCAUCACUGAAGCCUUCUACAACAGGUGGAUAUUUUGUGUAGUGUAAUUCGUAGUCAAGUGUAUUUUUCAAAUACCUUAACACUCUUUUGACAAUUAAAUAUAUAUUAAUUAUAUAUUAAUUAUAAUUAAUUAUAUAUUAAUUACCAAAUAAUUAAUACACCCCAAAGCCCAACCCCAAGGGUGAGCCCAAUUUUAGUCUCCAGGCCUAUUACUCCAAUCACUUUCUUUAAAGGACAAAGCCUUAUAAAGUGAUAAAAUCUUUUGAGAAUGGCCAAUGUGGGACAAGGAAAUUUCUACUCAAACUACUCAAAUUUCCAACACUCUUCAUCCAUAAGAUUUAAAUUUAAGACAUAUCCUUAUAAGUAAAGAAGAAUACCAUUAAACGUAUUACUAGGUGGCCAUAAAGAGUCAUCUUUAAAUCAAAGAUCAAAUUAAAUAAGGUUGAUCUUUAAAAUAAGGGUGAACUGUUGAUUUAGUCCCUAAAUUAUCACCUCAAUACAAAUUUGGGUCAUGAAUUAUUUUUUUAGUAAAAUAAGUCCUUAAAUUCAUAAAAACUGCUAAUAUAAUCUCUAAUAUUAUAUUGGAGGCUUUUUUAUCAAAUUUUUCGUCAACUUAAGUCACAUGACACAUUUAGAGGAUAAUGUUGUUAUUUUCUUGCAUAUAAGACCUUAACAUUGCAUAUAGGUUGCGAAUAUAAUGUCUUAUUUACCCUCCAAAGUUAUUCCGUACACUAUUUCUUCUUCUUAAAAAAAAAAGGUCCUUAAACUAUGAAAAACUACCAAUCUACUCUUUAAGUGUAUCAUAUGUAAGUCACGUAACUUAAAUUAACGAAAAAUUGAAUAGAAUAGCUUCAAAUCUAAUGUUAAGGAUAUAAUUGGUGGAUUUGUACUAGUCUAGGGACUAUUUUUUUUUAAAAAAUAAUUUAGAGACCUUAUUUUUAUUUAAAUAACUAAAUCGGUAGUUUACCCUUAAAAUAAAGAUUAAAUUACAAAUGAAGAUGAAUACUUUUGGGCAUUUGAUAUCUUUGUUUUCUAAGCCUGCGUACCCUGGACUUUCUUUUGUUUGAUUUCAUUUAUUUGGGCCUUGCAAUUCUUUUCUCUUUCCAAAUGAGUUUUAUUGGGGCCUACAGAUUACUAAUAAUUUUUUAGUGCAUUCCACAUGCAUUCAAUUUUUAUCCACAAAUUUAUUAAGUUCAAUAACGUGACUUUCACGAUCAAAUUCUCGAGGUCAAUUUUAUAAAUCCACAAGUUGAAUGAAAUUGGGGAGAAAAAAACACGACCAUUUUCCCAUCAUCAUCUUAUUUACAUCAUAUUUAUCACAAUCGAAUCGGUCAAAUGAGUUCAUGAAUCAUCAACCCAUGAUAAGGCAUCUUAUUUUUGAAGAAAAUAAAAUGCCAACUAAUUACUAAUUCACAAAUGCCAAUUGAGUAUUUGCAUUCAGAAUAUGGCCUUAAGACUUGGGAUUGAAGGCACCAUAUUCCAAAGUAAAAUAUUUACCCAAAGUAAUUUUUUUUUGUCCAAAAUUUAUUUAACGUAAUUGGAAAUAGUCAAGUGAAUGAACAAACAUUCAAUAUCGGUGCAGUUCGAUGCUUCUAUUAUUUGAUGCAUGAUUUCUUCAAAUUCUCAGAACCAAAUAAAUGCACUGCAUUAUCUUUCCAUCUAUAUAGAUAUAGCCAUGCACCCUUCAAAUAGCUUACAAAACCAACCAGAUAAGCUAGCACUUCGGAUUAUCUGACUAAACCCGAAACACCUAAAACCAGAAGUUUGGACUAGAAAAUGGAAGCCAGUAAAGAAUCGAAUACUAAUACCCCGGUGGAAGAAAAUCAAAAUGCUGGGGUUGAGGAACGUGGCACCUGAUGGUGCUGGAGAAGCUAAAGCAGGAGGGAGUACUGGUACCGUACACAAAACAACGAAAGCACCCGAAAGAGAUGCUCAAUCUCCAAGGACAGCUUUGAGAGCAACCCUACUGCCUAUGUCAAAUAUUUGUGUAAAUAAACAACUCCUGCUACUGACUACUCGCUACUGCAUGAGAUGUUAAAAUUUACAUAGAAUAAAGAGUAGCAGUACUAGUCGUUGCCGUUGUGUCCCUAUCUAUGUUAAGUUAUUAAAAUUAUCAUUGUGGUUAAGCUUUCUGUUUCGUUAUUUACACUGUUAUACUUCGAUGAUGAGUAAAACUGAAAAUUAUGGGUUUUAGUUCUCCUUGUUUUAUGUCGAUAUCCAUCCAUUCUUCAUAAGCAAUUCUUGCUCAUCUUACGAAGUUAGCAUUGUUGGGACAGAUGUUUACAAUUGUAAGAUAAAAGCUUUGGAUUAUUUAAAAAUGCUGCAAACAAAGGAGAACAAUUGUCUCGAAAAGCUUAAAUUACAACGGAUUAACAUAGUUGUGUUGAGUCUGUUGACGUUAAUUGAUAGUAGAUGGAAGAUUGCUCAGUCUAAAAAUACCAGAUAAGAUAAGUGCACAAAAAGCUUGCUCCUGCUAGUAACUAGUCUUGGUGCUUGAUCGAAUCCACCUAGUGCAAGAAUCAUGGAAAUUCUGGUCUUUGCAGUUCAAAGUGAGUGCAGCAUUACCUGAACUCCAUGUUGUGGACGACAUGUCAGAUAAUGCAAGGGCGAGUGGAUGUAACCUGGAGACAGGGUGAAGGAGAAACGCUGUAGAAUCAUCGACAGCGCAAUCUUUGCUUCGGUGGUUGCAAAAUUCAAGCCCACACACGUUCGAGGUCCCAGUCCAAAGGGUAUGAAUACACCUACGUUAUUGUUAGUUGCUUUUGCAACCCCUUCCGAGAAUCUGUCUGGUUUGAAAAGUUGUACAUCUUUCCCCCAGAUUUGAGGAUCAUGGUGAAUUGCUAUGGUCGAGAUAACUAAAUCAACAUUAGCAGGAACAAUGAGCUGUCCAAGUCUAACUUCCCUUUCAACUUUCCUUGUAAUUGAAACGGGAGGGGUAUAUAACCUUAGAGACUCAUUGAUGAUCAUACUCAUCUGCGUGAAAAUUGAUAUAGACAAUAAAUCAGGAAUUGAAGCUUAAUCGAAGACAUGAUUCUUCCACUUAGACAAACAUGUGGUUGCGUUCUUGAUUUUCUUACCCUUUUCAUUUUUGCAAUGCCAUCGUGAUUCGGAGUUUGGUUACCAAAUAACUGUAUGACUUCCUUUCUUGCUUCCUCUUGCCAAUCCGUAUGGAGUGCCAGAAGAAACACAGUCCAAGCGAGCAAAGUAUUAGCGGUUUCCUGUCCAGCAAAGUAAAAGGUCUUGCACUCGUCGACCAAAUCAUCCACUGAAAUCCUCUGGUCGUCAUUGGAAUCAUGAUAAGCCUUUAAAAGUAAUCCAAGAAAAUCACUUCCGAAGCUGUCUUCUCCUCCGGUCAUAGCCUUCUCUUCUCUUUUCUUAACAAUCUCUACUAUGGAGGCAUGUACUGCUUUCUCAAGUUUUUCUGCUUCAAUCUCAUCUCUAGUUUUCAAAAACUUACUGCAUAUUGAAUGACAGACUACAGAUAAGGACAGAAGCAAUCAUCCGAAAAUCAAGUUGUGAGAACAGCUUAGACAUGAUUAUGUGCUAGUUAACAUCGCAAGGAACAGAAUGUAUUGUCCCGUAUUCAAUUUUUAAUGCUGUUCCAGCAGCAGACUCUAGCAAAUUGAAAGUUCCAAUUGAUCAAUCAAAGAUCAUUUGAUACAAUAAACAUCGAAGAUUUAAAACCCACUAACCAAUCAAUCAGAGAUUCAAUAACUAAAGAGAAGUGACUAAAUGGAUAUCCUUUCAAUUAAAAGGAAAUUACCUGAUGCCGGGAAUUCUGAUUGUGAGAGCAUUUUUGAAUAUCAGGAAGCCGAUAUUAUUCAACAUCUCGAAAAUAUUCUUUCCUUCAAUAUAGCUGCUUCCAAACGCCGUUCUUGAAAUCACUUCUGAACUGAACAGCUUAAGCUCUCCAAAUACCUCAAUCUCUUUUCCAUCAUAAUCUUUCCACCUUUCAAGCAUUGUCUCGGCACUCGCGACCAUUUCCGAAAACAUGCUCUAGUAAAACAAUGACAUCAUCACAUCAUCAAAUUCACCUAAAAUCCCUCCUUUUCCUAUUCAAAUACUUAACACCACAGUACAAUUAGCAGCAAAAACUUACUUUUAAGCUCUCUCCAUGGAAGGCAUGGUUCGCGAUCUUUCGCAGUUUCCCCCAUUUUUCACCCUCGGUCGUUGAGACAAGCCCAUCCCCCAACAGCUUCCUCACAAAGCCCUGGACCUCUCUUUUCGGAUACGCUCUAUCUUUGUUAUUCAGUAUCUCCUUGCACAACUCAGGCUCCGUUAUCACAAACUGAGCCCGAGUACCGUGCCACUGUAGAUAAUUCUUCCCUGUAAGCAAUUCCAUACAAAUAUCACCAAAAAUAAUCUCGAACCAAAAUAUCAAACAAAAAAAAAAAAAAAACAAUAGUUUACGAAAAUUAAGGUCGUUCUGUUUUUCGUUACCAUAAAUCAUGAUCCAAGAGUGCAUGUGCGGUUGAACAACGGAAAGUAUGUCGUGGGAUAAAUCCUUCGGCUUGCUCAUGGCUUCUUUUCUCAUGGUGGCGAUUUGUUUGGUGUUUCCAUGGAUGAAUCUGUAAGGAGGGCCUCUGAUACCCUGCGACGCCAUCAACUUCGAGAUUCGAGUGGGAGUCCACCAUAGCUUGUGAAGGACCUUCACCAGAACGGAGACGAGAACCACACACAGAAGGCUUGAGAGAGUGACUGCCACCCCUCCCACUGCCAGAGUGACCAUUUUUGGUACUGGCUUUCUCUUCUCUGAAGCUGCUGAGUUUUCACUUCGGCUUUGUUGUUUAUUAACGUGUUGUGUGCAGAAAGGUAAGAUAAUUAAAAUGUCCGUUUGACCCUACUUGAUUGUUACUUUUGCUUCUCGUACUACUGCCAUUUAAUGCGACCUGAAGGGCAAAUAUUGUCAUCCGUGCUGACUUAUUAGAAUGUUAGGCUGCCAUCUGCCAGCUUUUCAAAUUAAUUCUUCAACAAUAAAGUCAUACAACCCCGCAUCUGAUAGUUUAUUUCUUAUGCCGGUCCCCAGUCCGAAUAAAAAAGAAGGGAGAAGGCGUAAAUUAGUUGACAACCAUUACUCUAUUCUUACAUCGAAUCUUAAUAAUACUGAAUCUUUUUAUUAAGAUUCUUAGCUGGAAUAGCUCAUUUUACAAAGAGUAAUGCCAAGUAAACAAAAUUUGCGUCAUUUAGUACUACGGUUUAAUGAUAUUUCUCUUCAUUUGUAAAUGAGUGGUCUUAAUUUCGAUUCUAGUCAAAGGCGAGUUUGAACAACAUUAUUGCUAACCUAUUAGGAGGCUAAACCCAUCUUCUCCUCUUAAAGUAGAUAAUAUCAAUUGUUUAAAAAAAAAUCUAAAUUUGCAAACUAAAUAUAAUAAACCUAUUUCUAAAAGAUAAUUUGGAAUGACCACUAACUAUUGAUUAAUUGCACAUCAACUUAUUUCCUUCCUCCUCCCACAAAUUAAAAAAAAAAAAGCCCUUCUCUGUCUGAAAAUGCGGCCUUUAUAGCUUCUGCAAUUCCGGCGACUUCUCCUCCGCUACCUUUCCACUUCCUUUUCAUCCCCAUCAGAACGAUGGUGAUGGUGCAACUGGGUUGAAAACCCCAUCGGGAGGAAUGAAUCCGAGAGAGAGAAUGGUGGUGAAUUGAUCGAUUCGAUCACUGCAAUUUCUGUGAGGAGGAGAUUUGCAGAUGGUAGCCUUGAAUAAUUGAAUUCAAGCUCAACUUCUGCUAUUAAACCCCCACACCAACUUAAAAAAAAUUGUGAAUUUUAAUUGUAGGAGGAAGUUGUGGAAUCUUGUGAAUUUAAAAAAAAAAAUUCUGACAUUAUGAUCAGUUAGAGUUAAUGAAUGACAAUAAUAAUGACAACGUGAUAUGUAACUCCAAUAAUUCAAUAUUGAUAUUCCAAUUAAAAUGAAUUCGAAAAUGAAGUGGUAUAUAUUUAUAUUAAUUUGUUUAUUCGAGAUCAACAUCAUCAGUUUCGUGCUUCUACGUAAAAGUAAAAGAUAUUCAACGUCCAUUCAAUAGAGAAUUUUUUGUUGUGACGGGAACACGGAUUGUACAUUAUGAGUUUCUCUGUAAGUGAUGGGAAAUUUUACUUAAGUUAUAACUUUUUAACACACAUAUCUCACUAUUUAUAUAGUGAUACUUAGUGUACCAUCUCGUGUACCAAUCACACAGAAAAAUCUCUCCAUUCAAUAAGGCUCUUCCUCGUUAGACAUGAACAAUACUUAGAGAUAAACCAACUUAUCGUUAGACAAGAAAAAACAUGAUUUGAUUUGAGAGUCAACCUCGAUUGUAUCAGGUAAUCUUGUCGACCAAGACCAGGACACACCAGUUCCAACAAGACCCCCAAUGUAUGGCCAGCUCAGGCAAACAACCAGCAAUUGAAAUUAGGUGCGCGCUGAGGACGGAACUCGAAUGAAAGAAAAGACAUAAGAAAAACUUAAACAAGUGGUACAGUGUAGAAUUACAAUUAAUUGUAUUAAAAAUUGGAAAAUAGUACAAUGUAUAGUGUCAUAUUAAUGACUAUUGAGGGACAAAAUCGUACAAUGCAUAGGGUCAUAUUAAUGACUAUUGAGGGACAAAUCUUACACUAGUUACAAUUGAAAGUAUCGUAAUAUUACGAUUUAAUGAUAUUUAUCUUUACAUGUAAAUGAGAGGCCUUAUGUUUAAUUCUCAUCAAAUGCGAAGUUGAGCCACAUUAUUAUGACAAGCCCUUGUAAGGCUUAACCUACUCAUCUACUCUUUUAGUGUAAAUAUUAUCAUUUAUUCAAAAAAACAAAAUUACAUUCCUAUAUUACAUGCUACAAUUACGAAAAAUAUUCAAGAUUAAUUAAUUAUUUUCUAACAAUCAUUCAUUAAUUGAAGCGGAAAAUGUUUAAUUAUAUGAUAACAUGCUAGAAGUCAUAAGAAACCAACCGUAGGGCUCCCAUUUCCUUUGGCACAGAACCCCUCCCCAAGUAACCUGCUUUCGCCGUCAACUCCUUCCUCUCUGGUUAGGGUUGGCAGGUAACCCCCUUCUCUUCCUCCUUGUCCUUCUCCUCUCUAGCUCACUACCCCUAUUACACCCCACCCCUGUUUUUGUUUUAAAAAUUAUUUUGGGGUCUUAUUUUGUGUGCCCCCGGCCCCAAUCUCUCUUCAUCAUCUCUUUCUCUCUCUUUUCCCUAACUUUCUCCUCUUUACCUGUGCUCUCUCUUUGCAUUUCUCCAUUUGUCCGAGCACCACCCCUACACACCCAUAACUACAAACGACGACAACACCACCCUCUAAUCCAACUUUCUCUCCUUCUCACCACAGUGCAAACAUUUCAUCGAUGAGUUAUCGUUGUUUUCGAAGAAGGUAGGUCGAAACACCCUUCCAUCUUUCUCCCUAGUAGUCUAGAAGGAUUCAUGGUUGUUAUAAUGUGAUUUUGGUGAAGGUUUGGAUAUGAAAACACUUCAAGAUGGCCUUUCCCAGUUUCCGGAGGACACCCGUGGCUUCCAGGUGGUUUUUCGGCCAACUCCGGGCACGAUGACAAGAACCAAGGGUAUAUUUUCAUUCCUUACCUUUGGGGCUUCAAUUUGGUAUAUUAAAUCGCAUGCUUUGGUUAAGUUUUGAGCUCCAUUGGAGCUCAAGGAAUGUCCGGCCGAAUUCCGGCCAAAUGGGUUCGGCGACCCACAAUUGGAACUCAGGCCUGGCUUUCAAGCCCCAAAACCCCUUUGAACUAGGCCUUUGGGCCUAGGACCUUUCAGCCCAAACUCUCCAACCCAACCUAAACCUUUUAUUUUUAUUUUGUUUAUUUUGUUUUAAAACCCAAAGGAAUAGGCUCGGCCGGGCCUUCAAGCCUAGCCCAUUUGAGAACCCUAGUGAGAAAGGCCUUUGGGCCACUGAACCAGCCCAAGACCUGAGCUUUCAAGCCCAAACCUAAUAUAACCCAACCCUAAAACCCAUUUUAAAUUAGAAACCCGUAACCCAUUAACCCACUAUCCUAAGCCCAACCUACCUAAACCUAAACCUAACCCAAGUCCAAACCCUAAACCCUAACUGGCCCAAACCCUUUAUGGGGAAUAUCCACUAGGGAAUAUUUCGUCAGGGAAUAUUCUUUGUGUUGACUUUUACGAAAUUUAACCGAGACCUUACUUAGUGUAAUUCGACAUCUUGAAUUCAUUUCCGACGUUCGUUUUCCCAAAUUCAAUUGUUAUAAUAGAGUUUUAUUAAUUGGACCCUUUAUGUACAAUUAUUUGUGACGAUUCCAUGUUCGAUAGUUUGCGUGGCUCUUCGGCGGCUAAGUAUCUGUGAGUGGACCCCUUCUAAAAAUGAAUGUUUUAAUAGUAUAAAUGCAUACAAGAAAAUCAUGAUUUAAUGAUUAUGUUUUAUGAAACAUUUUAUGAGAUAACAUGCUUAUUGAGGCUAGUUUGAAUUAUUACUAUUUUUCCUAUAACCCGUGUUCUUUAUAGAAUAUUUGAUGGACGAUGAUAUGAUAUUUAGAACAUGUUUUGAACACCUCUUUAUAGUAUAGAUGAUGGAUGACUUUAUACUAUGAAGUUGCUUUUCAAAUAAAUGUAUGUUCAAUGGUUUUGUACUUACCUAGUGGUCCCAAUUCCGUUACGGGGUGAGGGAUAUAUUAUGUCCUGGACGACGGUUACGGUGUUGGCAUAGGGCCUGAAGAUGGUUUUCCUCUAGCAAUUAGCACAGAGACGGGGAGCUGGCUUGGGGCCUGGGGGUGAUUUUCCUCUGGCAAUUGGCAUAGAGACGAGGAGCUGGCAUGGGGCCUGGAGGGAUAUUGGACAUUCACUAGUGAUUAUGAUAUAUAUGAGUUAUGAUUUGAGACAUUGCACGACAUGCUAGGUUUCGGAAAACCUAUUUUUAUCAUGCUAUAUGAGUUUUCAUAAAACCUGGGGAUUAGUAUGUUGAUAACUUUUUUAUUUUAUAUAUAUAUAUAUAUAUCAACUUGGUCCACUCAUGUUUGUUUUGCGCCAUUUUCAGGACUUAGAAUCGAGGCAUACAAUCCCGGCGUCAAGGCACUUCCGCAUCAGCAUCUUCGAAUCCUCUCGGUGUAGGAUCCAUCCUUUGUUUCAUUCAAUUUUAUAUUAUUUCUUUUAAUCUUCUAAUUAGUUGUAUACUCUGAAUACGUUCCUUAAAUGCAUAUUCAUUAUUCUUUUAUAUUUAUAAGUCUUAUCUAUCUCUUGUUCUCAGCUUUUGCACUCAAUAAAUGGUUUUCGUCACCCUCGAGUGUCAGCCAGCACGUGCCUAUCCUGGUAUUUGGGGAAUAUCGGGAUCGGGGCGUGUCAACCCCUCCCUCGAAACCUCUUCCAUCCCUCCAAUCUGGUAUUCCCCCCAACUUACUUAUUCGCAACCCCUUUCUCUUCACUUCAAUAAGUUUCUUAGUUUUGUUCUAUUCCUUGUUUUUGAUAACCCUCUUAAUAUCUAGUUUCCUUGAGCUUGUGUCAACCUCCCUGAGCUUGUCACAAAUCUGGGCUUUUAUGCCCAUUUCUUUCUCCUUUGCUUCUCCUCGUUAUUAGUUCUUCACCACCGACCUUUGCUACUCGGCCCAUCGCUUGCCUCCCAUUGGCCACGUAUUUUGGUAUUUGGUGGUUGUUAAAGUGUUUUAGCACUAAUUGGUAAGAUUAUGGCGAGCGCUUUUUGCGCGGGUGGCUCACUCACCUCCAUUUUCAGUUCAUCCAGAUUGUUUGUGGGUUUUUUUAUUGGUGAUGGCGGCGGGUUGGCGAUGGUGGUGCAACUGUUGUGGCGGAGGCAACAAUCUUUCAGAUCUAAAGUUUUGUUUUUUGUGGGCUUGCUCUUUUUGAGCAUUUAUGUUGUAUUUUCUUUUAGGCUAUGUUUGUAUUUGAACUACCUUUGGACUUUCUAUUUCAUAUAAUAGCUUUUUCAACUAAUAAAAGUUUCUAAUUUGGCAAAAAAAAAAUCCGACUUAAAAGAAACAAAACUUAAAAAAAAGGAAACGGAUGCCUUUUUUAUUUAUGUUGCAGUGCUCAUAUUAGGCUGCUUACAGUCCUGACGCCCUAGUGCAGAAUUCAUGGGCAGUUCACAAGGGAGUGUACAACUACUUUUAUGACGUUCAAGAUUUCUUUAUUAUACUUAUUGUAUUUAUCAAAGGCACCAAUGUGUGGGUACUUCAGAUACCCCAAAUGCAAGAACCAUGAGAAACUCUGCUCUUCGCCGUUCAAAGCGAGUGUAAAAUCACCUGAACUCCAUGAUAUGGACGAACAGUAACAUAAUGCAAGGGCAAGUGGACGUAAGACGGGGAAAGGGUGAAGGAAUAGCGUUGAAGAAUCAUCGACAGAGCAAUCUUCGCUUCAGUUGUCGAGAAAUUCAAGCCCACACAAGUUCGAGGUCCCAGUCCAAAGGGUAUGAAUGCACCUACAUUAUUGUUAGUUGCUUUUAAAACCCCUUCUGAGAAUCUGUCUGGUUUGAAAAGGUGGACAUCUUUCCCCCAGAUUUGAGGAUCAUGGUGAAGUGCAAUGGUCGAGAUAACCAAUUCAAGAUUAGCAGGAACGAUGAGCUUUCCCAGUUUCACUUCCUUUUCAACUUUCCUUGUAAGGUAAACCGGAGGGGUAUAUAGCCUCAAACACUCAUUGAUGAUCAUGUUCAUCUGUAUAGAAAUGGAAAAUUGAUAACAUAAUCAAUUUUCAAACAUGUUGUAACAGAGCAAAGAAAAAAAAAAGAGUUCUUGAUAUUCUUACAGUUCUCAUUUUGGCAAUGCCGUCAUGAUUUGGAGUUUGUUUGCCAAAUAAUUGUAUGACCUCCUUCCUUGCUUCCUCUUGCCAAUCCGUAUUAAGUGCCAGAAGAAAGACGGUCCAACCAAGUAAAGUAUUAGUGGUUUCUUGUCCAGCAAAGUAAAACGUCUUGCACUCAUCAAUUAACUCAUCCACCGAAAUCCUCUGGUUGUCAUCGGCACUCUGACAAGCCUUCAAAAGUAAUCCAAGAAAAUCACUUCCAAAAUUGUCUUUUUCUUUGGUCCCUGCCUUGUUUUCUCUUUUCUUGACGAUCUCUAUUAUGGUGGCGUGUACUUCUUUCUCGAGUUUAUCUGAUUCGAUCUCAUCGCUGGUUUUGAAGAACUUACUGCAUUAAAUGAAAAGACUACCCAUGAGGACCGAAGUGAUUGUCAACAAAUCUUGUGGUGAAUAUUGAGUAGAUCACCGUUGCAUAGCAGAUGGGCAAACGAAAAAGAAUAAUAGGGAUUACCUGAUGCCAGGAACUCUGACCUUGAAAGCAUUUUUGAAUAGUAUGGAGCCUAACUUCAUCAACAUCUCAAAAAUGUUCUUUCCUUCUAUAUAGCUGCUGCCAAAUGCCGUUCUAGAAAUGACUUCCGAAGUGAACAAUCUAAACUCUUCAUACACCUCAAUCUCUUUUCCUUCAAAAAAUUUCCACCUUUCUAGCAUUGCCUCGGCACUAGCUACCAUUUCCGGAAUCAUACUCUAUUGAAACAAUACCAUCAUGAUAUUAGCAGAUUCACCUUCAGUUUAUUACACUAAAGUACAAGCAACCUUGAAGACUUACUUUUAAAGUCUCUCCAUGGAAGGCAUGGGUGGCCAGUUUCCGCAAUUUUCCCCAUUUUUCAGCUUCGGUUGUUGUCACUAGGCCGUCUCCCAAUAGCUUAUUCACAAAGUUUGGGGUAUCUGUUUUCGGAUAAGCUCUAUUUUUGUUAUUCAGUAUCUCUUUGCACAACUCGGGUUCCGUAAUGACCAACUGAGCCUUAGAACCAUGCCAUUGAAGAUAAUUCUUCCCUGUAAUUAGUAUGUAAACAAUGAUCAAAAUUUGUCACGGAAUUAAGAUUAAAAAACAAUAGUAGUCAACCUAAAAUCGCGAGAGUUCACUUGUCACCAUAUAUCUUGAUCCAUGAGUGCGUGUGAGGUUGGACAACAGAAAGUAUGUCGUGUGAUAAAAUCUGUGGCCUUCCCAUGACUUCCUUUCUCAUGUCAGAGAUUUCUUUGGUGUUUCCAUGGAUAAGUCGGUAAGGAGGGCCUCGGAUCCCCUGUGAAGCCAUCAACUUCCGAAUGCGAGUCGGAGUCCACCAUAUCUUGUGAAGGAUCUUGAUUAGCCCUAAGAUAAGAAACAGACACAGAAAGCUUGGGAAUAUGAUUACUAAACCUCCGAAAGAACCCAUUUUUUCGUAUUUCUUUUUGAGUUGGAGUCCGUCGUUCUGAAGUUUUUUCUGCUCUUUAUAUUGUAACACAAAUUAACAAGAUGCUGCUGAUGGUAUUUAUCUAGUGAGUGUCACUUACUUAUCUUGCUAGUUACUAAAAUCCAAGGGGCAAACAUCAUCAUCAAUACAUUGGCUUGAAACCUUAAGCUGCUAUUUGUCGACUUUCGAUAUGUCACUUUGGAAUUAUCUCCUGAAUUUGUCACCAAAUACGUUUACCGUACUAUUAAUUUGUUUCCCUACCCUCUCUUUCACCACAUUUUUCUAGUUUCCUUGAUGAGCUUUCGCAAGCCUAAAAUUUCUUCGUAAAAUUAGUGUCUGUGUCCUUGUCACAGACUGCAGCUGGCAUAACAAAUUAUGUCCAUCGUUUUCUACGACUUUUGGAUGGAUAUGGUUGUGACUUGUAAUAAGUUGGCUUUUCUAAAUUUUGAAAGACAUGAACCUUAAGCUGCCAUUUCUUGACUCCGCUGUGAAACUUCUAUAUCUACGGGACAAAAGUAGGUCGCUCAAUGUCAUGGGAAGUUAAAGGACCCUGCAUGUGAUUACAAGGAGUCGAACUUGGGGUGUUCGUCAGUUUUUAACUGAUGAGAUUCUGCGAAUUCACGUCCGAUCUAAACAUGGAUGUGCAUAAUAUCUAAAGAAUGAAUGGACAAAAUAAGAAAGAAAUGCAGAUAAAAUUUAUGAAAAAAAAAAGGGAAAAAGAGUGGGUUGGGUGGUGUUACUUGCUGCUUACACAGAAAAAAAAAAGGCUACAAGCCUUCAACUUUCCAUUGUAGCACCCUUCACAGAAACCUGAAACCUACCUUCCUUCCUAGCCCUGAGAACUGGGUCUCUCCAAAUUCUUCUUGUCAAAUUUUGUGGUGUCUUCGGAGCUGUUUAUUAGAUUUGGGCUUGUAUGGAUUUACACUUGGGCUUAGCAUCAGUUAGGCUUAGUUGCUGCUUUGGGUUGGGUGCAGAGUGAAGUCACCCAUAGGCAAGCACUCUUAACUAACUGAGUAUAUUUAGGGGAGGAAAUCGAACUGGGUGCAUAGGUAAGUACUCUUAGGGUGCGUUUGGUACGUGGGACGGGACGGGACGGAACGGGACAAGGCGUUCCGUCCCGCGUUUGGUGCGCCAAAAAUGGGUGGAACGGGCUGUUCCACGGGACAGAUUUUGAGUGUUUUUGCGUUCCACCUCCCCCCUGGAACGGGUUUGUUCCACGUCUGUGGAACACAAUGUUUUACCAUUUUAAGACAAAUAUAUCCCAUGUCUUUUUCAAAAAUUACACCUUCAUUCCGUCCCGUCCUGUCCCGUCCCGUCCUGUUCCGUUCCGUCCCGUCCCGUCCCGUCUGCGUACCAAACGCACCCUUAGCUAACUGAGUCACUUGAAAGUGAGAGGUCCUAAGUUCGAUUCUCGUCAAAGACAAGUUUAAACCAUAUUAUUACUAGCUAAUUGUGAAGCUAAGCUCACACUUCCCUCUUAGUGUAAAUAAUAUCGUUUGUUAAAAUUAAAAAAAAAAAAAAAAAAAAAAAAAAACACUAACUGAGUCACAAAUCUCUGUCCACCGUUUCUUAUGUUGUAAAAUGUGUCAUUUUAUAUAAAUAAAUGAAUCAAGCAAAUGUGUACAUAAAUCAUUGUUAUGUCAUUUGCCAUUUAUGGGCCCGUUUGAGUCUUUUUAUUUUUAUUUUUUAUGAAGCACUUGUGCUCAUAAGCGUUUUAUCUAGAAGUGUUUUUAUAAGAAAUGCAUUGAACUUUUUUAUUAAAAAUUUAAGUACAUUCGAAAAAAGAAAAAAAAAACAAUUGUGAAAACUUUAUAAAGAAGCAUAACAAAGUACUACUUGAGAAAAUGCUUCAAUGAUUUAAAAACAUUUAAGUUUUUCUGUCAAAUACAUUAAUGUUUUUAUUUAUCAGAUUGCACUACUAGUCCAUCCAAAGGCAAUCUUGAACAUAUUUUUUUUUUUAGAGGUAGUGCUAUCAACACAUUCAUUUUUACUUCUCACAUAAUCUUCUCAAAUUUCAGCCGUCAAAUCGAAUAAUUUGAACAAGAUCAUGACAAAAAAUUAACAAGGAAGUGAAGAAGAUAAAAAUGAGUGUGUGAAUAACACUAUUUUUUUUAUAAUUAUUGGUAAGAAAAAGGCAUUUCAAAGGAGGAGUCUUUGUAUUACGUGUUCAAGCUUCGUAUUAUGCAUUUCUUGUUGGGAAAUGGCAGACUUUAACUUUUAAUACUACCGUCCUUUAUUAUCCUUCAUUUUCAAGCUUUGACUUCAUGUUCCAACGUACUCUAACACUUCCGAUGCUUGAAUUAAUCUUCCCAGAAUCAAAUCUUUAAAUUAGUGCAUUAUAUAUAUGGCCAUGCACCCUUCAUGCAAGUCAUAAAAUCAACAAAAGGCAAAAGAAAAGUAAAAGCAGUUUGUACUAGAAAAUGGGAGGCAGCAAGGGCUCUGGAGGGAAUCAAAAUGCUGGGUCUGGGGGGGGUAACAAAUCCUCCGGUGGAGCAACUGGUGGCAGUGGCGGUGGCGGUGGCGGAGGAGCCAAAGCAGCGGGAGGGACGGGGGCUUCUAUGAAAGCGCCAGGAAGAGAUUAUACGAUCUCGAGAGACAGCUUUGAGAGUAACCCUGCUGCCUACUUCAAAGAUCUGCGCAAAUAAAAAAAUCUACUAUUUCUCACUAAUGGCUGAGACAUUAGGACUUAUAUAUGAUAAAUAAGGAGCAGUAGUAAUUAGUACUGUGCUUCUGUUGAACUGCUUAUCCAUAUGUAUUCUCCCUACCUAUCCUAAUGCAGUUACUAGUUACAUAUUAUGUUUAAGCUUUGUGUCUUUAAUUAAGUAUAGUUUACCAUUGAUGAUACACAGCGGUUACUCUAAAGUCUAAACACAUACCAAUGAGUUCGAUAGCUAGAAAAAGUUGAAAUGAUAACGGAUAGACACAAUUUCAUUAGUUGCACUGAAUAGCAAAUCCGAAAGGCAUCAAUUUCCCGGCAAUGCCAGCCUUCACAGUUCAAAGUGAAUGUAGCAUUACCUGAAUUCUAUGUUGUGGCCGCAGUGUCAAAUAAAGAAAGGGCAAGUGGACAUAACCUGGGGAAAGAGUGAAGGAGUAGCAUUGUAGAAUCAUCGACAGAGCAAUCUUUGCUUCGAUGGUUGCAAGGUUCAACUCCACACAGCUUUGAGGUCCCAGACGAAAGGGUAUGAAAGUGCUUAUGUUAUUGUUAGUAGCUUUAGCGAUCCCUUCUGCGAAUCUCUCCGGUUUGAAAAGUUGCUUGUCUUCUCCCCAAAUUCGAGCAUCGUGCUGAAAUGCUAGAUUUGAGAAACCAAUUCCACAUUAGGUGGCACAAUAACAUUCCCCUGUCUAGGCACACUGACAUUCCCCAGUAUAAUUUCCCUAUCAACUCUCCUUAAUAAGGAAUCAAGAGGGGGAUAUAACCUGUGAGACUUAUAGAAAAUCAUACUCGUCUGCAUGAAUAAAAAAGAAAAACAGAUUCCCAAAUUAGAAUCUCUAAUCUCAACUGAAAACAUGUUUCCAACACCCCCUUUCUUACUAUUUUCAGUUUGGAAAAGUUAUCAGGAUUUGGGGUUUGUUAGCCAAAUCAUUCCAUCACCCCCUUUCUUGAUUCCUCUUGCCAAUCCGUAUGGAGUGCCAGAAGAAACAGAGUCCAAGCAAACAAAGUAUUAAUGGUUUCUUGUCCAGCAAAGUAAAACGUCUUGCACUCAUCCACCGAAACCAUCUGGUUUUCAAUUUCAUCGUGAGUUCAAAAGUAAUCCGUGAAAAUCACUCCCGAAACUCUUGUUUUCUCCUGUCAUUGCCUUCUUUUCUCGUUUCUUGACAAUCUCUGUUAUGGAGGCAUGUACUUCUUUCUCUAGUUUGUCCAAUUCGAUCUCAUCGUUGGUUUUGAAAAGCUUACUGAUGCCAGGAACAGACUGGGAAAGAAUUUUUUAAUUUAUACUUUAAUCCCAUCUAAUAAUUUGUAUGUAACUUAGAGAUUUUUUUAUUUGAUUUUUGUUGUUUUCAUGUUGGCCACCCAUAUUUUGAAUCCUGGUUCCGCCCCUGACCAUAGCUUGUGAAAGAUGUUGAUGAGAAUUAAGACAAGAAGCACACACAGAAAGCUUUAAAAAAUGACUACUGGGCCUCCCAAAGAAGCCAUUUUUCGUGUGCUUCUCUUUGGCCAUCUCCCUUAAAAAAUACUCGUCUUUUUUUAUUCUUUUGUUUUCCGGUCGGCACAGAGGCAUCAUAUUUCAACUAAUGUAUAAUAUUCAACACGGUGCAAUAACAUUGAACCCCAAAAUCUAUCUAUGUUAAUGGAACUACCGUCACCUCUAGUUUGUAUUGAUUUUAGCCGUGCCCGGAAGUAGCAUAACCUUGUGCUGCCAUGUUAACUUAUCAAUUACGGUACAUAUUACGGCGUACGCCAAACAAAAAGAAAAACUUUGCUCGGAUUAUCCAAAAAAUUCUGACAAACGAAAGAGAACAAUAAUUGGAAAGAAAAAAAAAAAACUGCUUAUAGCUUAAGCCAUCAUAUAAUAGAAACGUGUAUGGCUGAAUAUUUGAAGGGUUUACAAUAUAUAGGCACACAUACCGUAUUUCAUAAGGAAACUAAUUAGAAAAGAUAAGGAAACUAAUUACAAAGGACUACUAUCAAUUACAAAUCCUAAUCUUACCAAAUAUUCUCCUAGAAUAUUUAUAAUAAAGACUGACGUCAACACAUAUCAUAAGGCUACAAUUUCUAGGUACUCCAUACUACCAACCAAGUGCAAGAUAUUUGGCAAUUCUGGUCUUCGGAGUUCAAAGUGAGUGUAGCAUUACCUGAAUUCCACGUUUCGGACGGACUGUAAGAUAAUGAAAGGGUAGGUGGACAUAACCCGGGGAAAGGGUGAAGGAGUAUCGCUGUAGAAUCAUUGACAAAGCAAUCUUUGCUUCUAUAUUUGUAAAAUUCAUGCCCACGCAGCUUCGAAGACCCAAUCCAAACGGUAUGAAAGCGCCUACAUUGUUGUCAGUUGCUUUAGCAACCCCUUCAGAGAAUCUCUCGGGUUUGAAAAGUUGCAGGUCUUCUCCCCAUAUUUGAGGAUCAUGGUGAAGUGCUAGAUUUGGGACAAUCAGUUCGAGAUUUGCGGGCACAAUGACUUUUCCAAGUUCAACUUCCCUUUCGGUUUUCCUUAUAAUAGUAGCAACAGGAGAAUAUAACCUUAGAGACUCAUUGAUCACCAUACUCAUCUGCAUGAAAAUGAAAAGUAUAUAACAAAUCAGAGUUUAAAACUUAACCGACAAGCUCAUUAUGAUUGAGUUCUCGGAUUUCUUACCGUUUUCAGUUUGGCAAUUCCAUCAGCAUUCGGAGUGUGUUUGCCAAAUAAAUCCACAACCUCCUUUCUCACUUCUUCUUGCCAAUCCGUGUGGAGCGCCAAAAGAAAGACAGUCCAAGCAAGCAAAGCAUUAGUGGUUUCUUGUGCAACAAGGUAAAACUCCUUGCAUAGUUCAAAUAAUUCAUCCGCCGAUAUCCUCUGGUCGUCAUUCGUAUCAUGAUAAGCCUUUAAAAGUAAUCCAAGAAAAUCACUCCCAAAGCUGCCUUCUCUUCUCUUCUCUUAACAAUCUCCAUUAUGGAGACGCGCAGUCCUUUCUCUAGCUUGUCUGCUUCGAUCUCAUCACUGGUUUUGAAAAACUUACUGCAACAUUAAAUGAAAGAAUAAAGUUUAGCUAUGUUUGGAGAUGUCAAAUUUUUAUUUUUUUAUUUUCUUUUGAACAAAAGGAGAUGUCAAAUUUUAAAAAUAAAAUUUAAAUUUGAUAUCUUAUGUGGCACUUUGAUAUCUUUUAAAGUUUUGUUUUCCACCCAAUAUGUUAAAUUUUAAACGUAAAAUAAAAUUUCAUAUUUAUUUCCUUUGCAUUGGUAAUGAAAGAAAAUGAAUUAAAGGGUAUAAAAUAUUUAAACAUUGCAUUGGUCAUGAAAGUAAUGAAAAGAAAUUAAAAGGCAAGACUUUUAACUAAUAAAAAAAAUUAAUAAAAAGCAUUUAAUAAUUAAUUAAUUUUUUUUUGAAGUUGCCGUCAAAUUUGGCAGCAAAUGAAAGAAAUACCAUUUCAUAUCAUGUCACAUCAGAUUUACCUUCUCGAUUAAAAAAAAUUGCUACUGCUUUUUCUUUUUUUUUUACCGUUAUUAUUUGUUAAGAUAUUUCGACAGAGAUGCUCUAAGAAAAAGAAGUAAUAGUCCACAACUCCACUGCUGCGCCAACAGAUAUGUGGAAAAAAUUACCAUGAUAGAGAAGUAUGAUUCUAUGCAUAACAAGCCGAAUGAGUCAGCUUCAGCUACAUAGUGAAAUCAAAUUGAGCAUGUUUCACAUCCCUUCUUGUAAUCAGAAUUUUUUUUUUCUUUUACAGGAAGUUACCUGAAUACGGGAACCCUGAUUGUGAGAGAAUUUUUGAACACUAAGACGCCUAACUUCGCCAGCGUCUCGAAAAUGGUCUUUCCUUCGAUAUAAUUGCUGCCGAAUGCUGUUCUGGAGAUCACUUCCGAACUGAACAACCUAAACUCUUGAAAAACCUCAAUCUCUUUUCCUUCAUAACUUUUCCACUUCUCCAGCAUUGUCUCAGUACUAGCUACCAUUGCUGGAGUCAUACUCUAGUAAAACAACACAAUCAUUCUGUUAGCAGAUUUACCUACAACUUGCAUGAAAGUGUUGGAAUUAUUAGAUCGACAGGUCCGGUAGCCCACUCUAACGAUACCGAUAAUAUCGUAUUUACCACCUGCCUCAUCCGUUAGUUAGGUAUGAGAUUUUAUCACAAAAGCUUCGGUAUUAUUUAGAGUCGAGUAAUCCUAUUUAAGGUCAUUAUUUUUUAUUUUCCGCGGGAUAGCCAACAUGCCACCUCAUGUGGAACCUCAUUUAGUGGUUCACACGUAGAGAUUCACACAUCGGUAAUUGAAACUCAGAGAUCGACUCCGAUGGAAUCUAAACUUGUUUUCAAUCUUUCCAAGAAGUGUUUCUUAAGAACUCAGAGGCUACUAUAUGUUAAGAGUCUAGGUUUGUUACCAAGCUCACACUUUGUGACAAGCCUUUUGGCUUGCACGAGCCCGUAUCUAGGGCUUUAAUAUCAUGUUGAAAUUUUUAAAUCGACGGGCCCGGAGGUCCCAUUCUAACGAUAUCUAUACUUGCCCUAACUUGGUAAUUAUCACCUAUCAAAUCCGUCAAAUGUGUAAUUUUAUCAUAAAAAAUCUCGAUAUUAGUUAGAGUAGGAUAAUCCUAUUUAAAGUCAUUAUUUUUUACUUCCGCGACCGAUGUAGGAUAGCUAAAAGAAAGCAGCUGUAACCGUAAAAACUUACUUUUAAGCUCUCUCCAUGGAAAGCAUGGGUAGCCAGCUUUCGCAAUUUCGCCCAAUUUUCAGGUUUAGUUGUUGUCAGAAGGCCAUCUCCGAAUAGCUUCUUGUCAAAGUAAGGGGUCUCUAUUUUCGGAUAAGCUCUAUCUUUGUUGUUCAAUAUCUCUUUGCAUAAUUCAGGGUCCGUAACGAUCAACUGAGCCUUAGAACCAUGCCAUUGAAGAUAAUUCUUACCUGUAAAUUAGCAUGCUAAAGAUGACCAAAUUUAUCUUGAUCGAAACUACGAUUUAAAAAAGUAGUUAACUAAUCAAGAUCAUUUGUUACCGUAUAUCUGAGUCCAAGAGUGAAUGUGAGGUUGAACUACAGAAAAUACGUCGUGUGAUAAAUUUUUCGGCCUGCUCAUUGCUUCCUUGAUCAUGUCGGUGAUUUCUUUCGUGUUUCCAUGGAUAAGUCUGUAAGGAGGGCCUGUGAUCCCCUGCAAAGCCAUCAGCUUCUGCAAUCGAGUCGGAGUCCACCAUAGCUUAUGAAAGAUCUUGAUGAGGAGUAAGACAAGGAACACACACAGAAAGCUUGGAAGAAUGACUAAUUGUCCUCCCAAAGCACUCAUCAUCUUUGUUAACUGGGUUUUCAAUCAGCAGACCAUAGUUUGUAAAGUGUUCUUGCUCUUUAAUCUGUACUGUUAACCAGAGCCGGCUUUUAAGGGCUGUGACAGGCAAGGAUGAAAAAAUCGAUAAUAUCGGCGAAAUAUCGCCGAUAUUAUCGUUUUUUUGAAGUUCCGAAAUUUUUUUAACUAUCCAAUCUAUUUUCGUCAAAAUAUCACGAUAUUAUCGAUAAUAUCGCGAUAUUUUCGAAAUUAUCGACAAUAUCGCGAUAUUUUAUUAAAAAAAUACUUAAAUAUGUUGAAAAAACUCAACACAUAAUUAACUUGAUCAUGGCCCAAAGGCCAAACAAGUUUUGGUUAUCUCAUUAGGGGAGUGUGAGUUUUAUAGGAAAAAUUCAUUGCUCACUUCCUUGCAUGGGCGAUGUGGGACUCGCCCAAUGGGGAAAAAAUCAAAAUUUCGGCCGAAAUUUUACACCCACUUUAAACGGCCAUAACUUUGUCAAAACUCAACGAAAUCAAGCAAGACAAAAACGAAAGUUGUAGCCCUCGAAGAGACGAAGAGAAUGGUACCUCACACUAUGUCUGAAUCGUAGUGGUUUGGCCGGAAAAUGCCUCGAAAGUCACUGAGGUGGCUGAGGUCGUCGGAAACUGGGUAAGAUUCAAAUGAGUAUAACUUUUUCAAUACGCAACGAAAUUGAGUGAAACAAAAAGAAAAGUUGUAGCCCUCGAAGAGACGAAGAGAAUGGUACCUCACACGAUGUCUGAAUCGUAGUGUUUUGGCCGGAAAAUUCCUCGAAAGUCACUGAGGUCGCUGAGGUCGUCGGAAACUGGGUAAGAUUCAAAUGAGUAUAACUUUUU
rnacentral:lncRNA from 1 species